rnacentral:lncRNA from 1 species
AUGGAGUUGGUGGAAGGCGAGCUUGGACGGUUCGUGAUGAUAAGGGGCGAGGAGCCGACACAAACAUACAACCGGCUCAAGACCCUUAUCAACAAAAUAAGGAGCUACGGGAGCACGUGAUGGACGGACCACGGCGUCGUCCGCCUAAUGCUAAGGUCAUUUACCGUUCUUGAUCCUCAUUUGGUGAACAAUAUUCGUGAAAAUCCCAGGUACACCAAGAUGUCGCCCGAAGAAGUUCUUGGGAAAUUCGUUAGCGGGCGAAUGAUGAUCAAGGAGGCGAGGUACGUGGACGACGCCUUGAAUGGUCCGAUCAACGAGCCGCAACCCCUUGCUCUCAAGGCAACACGAAGCAAGGAGGCGCUACCUAGCAAGGUGGCACAGAUUGAGGCGGCCGGACUUAAUGAUGAAGAGAUGGCUCUCAUCAUCAAAAGAUUCAAGACGGUGCUUAAAGGUCGCAAGGGACAGCCAAGCAAGACCAAAGCCAAGGGGAAGCGCUCAUGCUUCAAAUGCGGUAAGCUUGGUCAUUUUAUUGCUAACUGUCCCGACAAUGAUAGUGAUCAGGAUCAAGGGAACAAGAGGGAGAAAAAGAAGAACUAUAAGAAGGCAAAGGGCGAGGCUCAUCUUGGCAAGGAAUGGGAUUCGGACUGCUCCUCAUCCGACUCCGACAAUGAGGGACUCGCCGCCACUGCCUUCAACAAGUCAUCCCUCUUCCCCAACGAGCGUCACACUUGCCUCAUGGCAAGGGAGAAGAAAGUAAGCACUCCUAAUACUAGUACUUAUGCUUCUUCAAGUGAGGAUGAGUCUAGUGAUGAUGAUGAGAUAGAUUACUCAUGCUUAUUCAAGGGAUUAGAUAGAACUAAGGUAGACAAAAUUAAUGAAUUGAUUGAUGCCUUGAAUGACAGGAAUAUACUGUUAGAAAAGCAAGAGGAUUUGUUGUAUGAAGAACAUGAUAAAUUUGUAGAAGCUCAGAAAUCUCUUGCUCUAGAAAUUAAGAGGAAUGAAAUGCUCUCUAGUGAAUUAUCUUCUUGUCAUGAAACUAUUGCUAAGUUAAAAAGUUUUAAUGAUGAUUUAAAUGCUAAACUAGAAGUAGCUAGUAAAUCUAAUUCUUGUGUAGAAAUUGUUGAAACUUGUAAUAGGUGUAAAGAUUUUGACAUUGAUGCUUGUAGUGAUCAUUUAGUUUCAAUUUCUAAAUUAAAUGAGGAAUUAGCUAGUCUUAAUGCCCAACUUAAGACUAGCAAGAAUGAAUUUGACAAGCUAAAAUUUGCAAGGGAUGCCUACACGAUUGGUAGACACCCCUCAAUUAAGGAUGGACUUGGCUACAAGAGGGAAGCCAAGAACAUGACAAGCCAUAAGGCCCCCAUCUCCGCCAAGGAGAAAGGAAAGGCCCCUAUGGCUAGUAGUGUGCAAAAGAACCAUGCUUUUAUGUACCAUGAUAGGAGACAAUCUAGAAAUGCUUAUAGGAGUUGUAAUGCAUAUAAUGUCUUUGACUCUCAUGCCAUGUUUGCUUCUAGUUCUUCUUAUGUGCAUGAUAGAAAUGUUGGUAGGAGAAAUGUUGUUCAUAAUUUGCCUAGGAGAAAUGUUGUUAAUGUUCCUAGGAAAGUAGAUGAACCUUCUACAAUAUAUCAUGCUUUAAAUGCUUCUUUUGCUAUUUGUAGAAAGGAUAGGAAGAUAGUUGCUAGAAAAUUAGGGGCAAGAUGCAAAGGAGACAAAACUUGCAUUUGGGUCCCUAAGGAUAUUUGUGCUAACCUUGCAGGACCCAACAUGAGUUGGGUACCUAAGACCCAAGCCUAAAUUUGCCUUGCAGGUUUAUGCAUCCGGGGGUUCAAGCUGGAUUAUUGACAGCGGAUGCACAAACCAUAUGACGGGGGAGAAGAAGAUGUUCACCUCCUACGUCAAAAACAAAGAUUCCCAAGAUUCAAUAAUAUUCGGUGAUGGGAAUCAAGGCAAGGUAAAAGGGUUAGGUAAAAUUGCAAUCUCAAAUGAGCACUCUAUCUCUAAUGUGUUUUUAGUAGAGUCUCUUGGAUAUAAUUUGCUAUCUGUUAGUCAAUUAUGCAAUAUGGGAUAUAACUGUUUGUUUACAAAUGUAGAUGUGUCUGUCUUUAGAAGAUGUGAUGGUUCACUAGCUUUUAAGGGUGUACUAGAUGGCAAGCUUUACCUAGUUGAUUUUGCAAAAGAAGAGGCCGGUCUAGAUGCAUGCUUAAUGGCUAAGACUUGCAUGGGCUGGCUGUGGCAUCGCCGCUUAGCACAUGUGGGGAUGAAGAACCUCCACAAGCUUUUAAAGGGAGAACAUGUGAUAGGUUUAACCAAUGUUCAUUUCGAAAAAGAUAGACCUUGUGCAGCUUGUCAAGCAGGGAAACAAGUGGGAGGCUCUCAUCACACCAAAAAUGUGAUGACAACAUCAAGACCCCUGGAGCUGCUACAUAUGGACCUCUUCGGACCUGUCGCCUAUCUGAGCAUAAUAGGAAGUAAGUAUGGUCUAGUUAUUGUUGAUGACUUUUCCCGCUUCACUUGGGUGUUCUUUUUGCAGGAUAAGUCUGAAACCCAAGGGACCCUCAAGCGCUUCCUAAGGAGGGCUCAAAAUGAGUUUGAGCUCAAGGUGAAGAAGAUAAGGAGCGACAACGGGUCCGAAUUCAAGAACCUUCAAGUGGAAGAGUUCCUUGAGGAGGAGGGGAUCAAGCACGAGUUCUCCGCUCCCUACACACCUCAGCAAAAUGGUGUGGUAGAGAGGAAGAACAGGACGCUCAUAGAUAUGGCGAGGACUAUGCUUGGAGAAUUCAAGACCCCCGAGUGCUUUUGGUCGGAAGCCGUGAACACGGCUUGCCACGCCAUCAACAGGGUCUACCUUCACCGCCUCCUCAAGAAGACGUCGUAUGAGCUGCUAACCGGUAACAAACCUAAUGUAUCGUAUUUUCAUGUUUUUGGGAGUAAAUGCUACAUUCUAGUGAAGAAGGGUAGGAAUUCCAAAUUUGCUCCCAAAGCCGUAGAAGGGUUUUUGUUAGGUUAUGACUUGAAUACAAAGGCGUAUAGAGUCUUCAACAAAUCAUCGGGUUUGGUUGAAGUCUCUAGCGACGUUGUAUUUGAUGAGACUAAUGGCUCUCCAAGAGAGCAAGUUGUUGAUUGUGAUGAUGUAGAUGAAGAAGAUGUUCCGACGGCCGCUAUACAAACCAUGGCGAUUGGAGAAGUGCGGCCACAGGAACAAGAUGAACGAGAUCAACCUUCUUCCUCAACAAUGGUGCAUCCCCCAACUCAAAACGAUGAACAGGUUCAUCAAGAGGAGUGUGAUCAAGGGGGAGCACAAAGUGAUCAUGUGAUGGAGGAAGAAGCACAACCGCCACCUCCAACCCAAGUUCGAGCGGUGAUUCAAAGGGAUCAUCCUGUCGACCAAAUUUUGGGUGACAUUAGCAAGGGAGUAACUACUCGAUCUCGAUUAGUUAAUUUUUGUGAGCAUUACUCCUUUGUCUCUUCUAUUGAGCCUUUCAGGGUAGAAGAGGCCUUGCUAGAUUCGGACUGGGUGUUGGCCAUGCAGGAGGAGCUCAACAACUUCAAAAGGAAUGAAGUUUGGUCACUGGUGCCUCGUCCUAAGCAAAAUGUUGUGGGAACCAAGUGGGUGUUUCGCAACAAACAAGACGAGCACGGAGUGGUGACAAGGAACAAGGCUCGACUUGUGGCAAAAGGUUAUGCCCAAGUCGCAGGUUUGGACUUUGAGGAGACUUUUGCUCCUGUGGCUAGGCUAGAGUCCAUUCGUAUCUUGCUAGCAUAUGCCGCUCACCAUUCUUUCAGGUUGUAUCAAAUGGAUGUGAAGAGCGCUUUCCUCAAUGGGCCGAUCAAGGAGGAGGUGUACGUGGAGCAACCCCCUGGCUUCGAGGAUGAACGGUACCCCGACCACGUGUGUAAGCUCUCUAAGGCGCUCUAUGGACUUAAGCAAGCCCCAAGAGCAUGGUAUGAAUGCCUUAGAGACUUUUUAAUUGCUAAUGCUUUCAAGGUUGGGAAAGCCGAUCCAACUCUUUUCAUUAAGACUUGCGAUGGUGAUCUUUUUGUGUGCCAAAUUUAUGUCGAUGACAUAAUAUUUGGUUCUACUAAUCAAAAGUCUUGUGAAGAGUUUAGCAGGGUAAUGACGCAGAAAUUCGAGCUGUCAAUGAUGGGCGAGUUGAACUACUUCCUUGGGUUCCAAGUGAAGCAACUCAAGGACGGCACCUUCAUCUCCCAAACGAAGUACACACAAGACUUGCUAAAGCGGUUUGGGAUGAAGGACGCCAAGCCCGCAAAGACUCCGAUGGGAACCGACGGACAUACCGACCUCAACAAAGGAGGUAAGUCCGUUGAUCAAAAAGCAUACCGGUCAAUGAUAGGGUCUUUACUUUAUUUAUGUGCUAGUAGACCGGAUAUUAUGCUUAGCGUAUGCAUGUGUGCUAGAUUUCAAUCUGAUCCUAAGGAGUGUCACUUAGUGGCGGUGAAGCGAAUUCUUAGAUAUUUGGUUGCUACGCCUUGCUUCGGGCUCUGGUAUCCAAAGGGGUCUAACUUUGACUUGAUUGGGUACUCAGAUUCCGACUAUGCUGGAUGUAAGGUCGAUAGGAAGAGUACAUCGGGGACGUGCCAAUUCUUAGGAAGGUCCCUGGUGUCAUGGAACUCUAAGAAACAAACCUCCGUUGCCCUAUCCAUCGCUGAGGCCGAGUACGUUGCCGCAGGACAGUGUUGCGCGCAACUGCUUUGGAUGAGGCAAACCCUCCGGGACUUUGGCUACAAUCUGAGCACAGUCCCACUCCUAUGUGACAAUGAGAGUGCUAUCCGCAUGGCGGAAAAUCCUGUUGAACACAGCCGCACAAAGCACAUUGACAUCCGACAUCACUUUUUGAGAGACCACCAGCAAAAGGGAGAUAUCGAAGUGUUUCAUGUUAGCACCGAGAACUAGCUAGCCGAUAUCUUUACCAAGCCUCUAGAUGAGAAGACCUUUUGCAGGUUGCGUAGUGAGCUCAAUAUCUUAGAUUCGCGGAACUUGGAUUGAUUUAUAGCAUACAUGUGUUUAUGCCUUUGAUCAUGUUCCAUAUGCAUUUUGUUGCUCAGUUAUGGUGCUCAAGUUGUACAAACACUCCCUGGACCUCACAAGUCCGUUGCAAAGUGAUGCACAUGUUUAGGGGGAGAUGUGUUACAACUUGACCCUUUGAGACUAACCAUGUGCUUGAGUUUGAUGCUUUAGUCUCAAAGAAGGAUUGAAAGGGAAUAGGUGGACUUGGACCAUGAAAGACUUCCACUGUACUCCGAUGAAAGGGUAACUUAUUCCAAGUUCAUCUCAUGUACUCUUAUUGCCUUUGUAUUCUUAUUGAAGAUUUUGGUGAGGCAAUGGGGUUAAAGGGCCAAGAUUAAUCCCGUUUUGGUGCUUGAUGCCAAAGGGGGAGAAAAUAAAGGCCAAAGCGAUAAAUGGAUCAGCUACCACUUGAGAGAUUUUGAAAAUAGUAGAAUAGAGUUUUUUGUUUUGUCAAACUCUUUUACUGUCUCUCUUGUCAAAAGUUGGCCUCUUGUGGGGAGAAGUGUCGAUUAUGGGAAAAAGGGGGAGUUUUUGAAAUCUUUGAUCAAUCUCUUUUGGAAUGACUCUCUUUAUGCUUCGACAUGUGUGUUUGACUUAGAGAUAGAGAUUUGGUUUUGAUUUGCAAAAACAAACCAAGUGGUGGCAAAGGAUAAUCCAUAUAUGCCAAAAUUGAAUCAAAAUAAAUUUGAGUUUUAUUUGAAGUGAUAUUGCACUUGUUCUAGUUGCUUUAUGUUGUGUUGGCAUAAAUCACCAAAAAGGGAUAGAUUGAAAGGGAAAUGUGCCCCUGGGCCAUUUCUAAGUAUUUUGGUGAUUGAGUGCCAACACAAGUGCUUAAAUGUGAAUCUAUACCCAUGGAUGGACAAAGUGCAAAUCAAGAGUAAAGGUAUGUUUCUAAGCCUUAGUACAUUGUUUUGAAGACUAAUGUAUUGUGUCUAAGUGCUUGAAACAGGAAAAAUCCAAUUGGAAAUGUCUUGGCUCGAGCAGCCAAGAAUCUGCUGAGUCUGGGAGCACCGGACUGUCCGGUGGUGCACCGGACAGUGUCCGGUGGUGCACCGGACAGUGUCCGGUGCGCCAGGCUGGCUCGAGCGAAGUGGCCGCUCUCGGGAAUUUACCGGCGACGUACGGCUAUAAUUCACCGGACUGUCCGGUGUGCACCGGACUGUCCGGUGAGCCAACGGUCGGCCGGGCCAACGGUCGGCCGCGCGAUCUGCGCGGGACACGUGGCCGAGCCAACGGUCGGAAGGGGGCACCGGACUGUCCGGUGUGCACCGGACAUGUCCGGUGCGCCAACGGCUCUCUGGCGGCCAACGGUCGGCUGCGCUGUUUAAGGAAAGGAAUCGGGCACCGGACAGUGUCCGGUGUGCACCGGACUGUCCGGUGCACCAGUCGACAGAAGGCAAGAUCAGCCUUCCAGAUUUGCUCUCAACGGCUCCUAGCUGCCUUGGGGCUAUAAAAGGGACCCCUAGGCGCAUGGAGGAGAACACCAAGCAACCUUAGAGCAUUCUUGAUCAUCCACACUCAAUUUUUGCGCAUUCAUUUGUCAUUCUCAGUGAUUCGAGCUCCGUUCUAGUGAGAACUUUGAGAUAGUCUUUAGAGCUCGAUUCUUGGCCGUGUGUGUGUGCAUUUUGCUGUGGAUUUGUGUGUGUUGCUUCCCUCCCUUACUCCUUGCUUCUUUGUGAACUUUAAGUGUAAGGGCGAGAGACUCCAAUUUGUGGAGAUUCCUCGCAAGUGGGAUAAAGAUAAGCAAAGCAAAACAUCGUGGUAUUCAAGUGGGUCUUUGGACCGCUUGAGAGAGGUUGAUUGCAACCCUCGUCCGCUGGGACGCCACAACGUGGAGUAGGCAAGCGUUGGUCUUGGCCGAACCACGGGAUAACCACCGUGUCAUCUCUGUGAUUGAUCCUUGUUGGUUAUUGUGUUUUGUUGAGGAUUCCGAUCUAGCCACUUGGCAAUUAUUGUGCUAACGAUUAACCAAGUUUUGUGGCUUAAGAUUUUGAAGUGUUACAGGAUCACCUAUUCACCCCCCCCCCUCUAGGUGCUCUCAGUCUCCCUCCUGUACUUCCAUGGAUGUUCAUGCAGGAUCGCCUCCGCACUCCGGCUGCAUGGUGGUAGCCCAAGCUUUGGACCAGGGGGUCGCCUUAGAGGGCAGCGUCCCUGCUGACCGAGUUGUGGGCUCUAUUGAUGGCACUGAGUUGGUUCCUGCUGGUUCGUUGCAAACUGCUUCGGGUGGCAGCCUUACGCCCGGUCAUCAAUUGAUCUCUCAUGAUUUGGGGGGGUCCCUUCGUUCUUUUCCAACCUCCAGGUACUGUGAUAUACUCUGGCUUGAAUUUUCCACCGCAUGAACUGCUGUCAUUACACUCAUCUGCUCUCCUUAUCAGGCUUUGGUGGACGGGAUGGCUAGCCAGCUGAGGCUACAGGGUGCUCCUGUUCCAGAAGUAGCUUCGUCUCUUGCACGUUGGAACCCAGUGUUACUUCAACAUCGUGUCUCUGACUUGGAGGCGACCAACGCUGGUUAGUGCUUUUUUUGCUUCUCUUUGUCUUCACUAUUAAACUGCUUUACAUUCUGACCCUCUUUGUUUGGUUGUCUCCUGCUAGGUAUGACUCGGUAGAUUUCCGCUCUUGAAGAAAAACAUUCUCGAGAUCAGGCUGAAUUAGUCCGGCGGUGCUCUGACUUUGAAGAAAAGUAUUCUCAAAGUCAGACGGAACUAGCUCAGGUCUCUGCUGCCUUAGAUGACGCCAAUGCACUGAGCUCUUCCCUUCACGCUCAGCUUAACUGUGAAAAGGUGACUUAUGAAACUGUACCUUGCCCUGUUGUGCUCCUAUUACCUGCUUGAUGUUUUGAGGAAGUUGACUUUUGUUUGCAGGAAGAAAAAUGUAUCCUUACUGCUUCUCGUGACAGUCUCGACAGAUUGUAUCGCGAUUCUAGCAACUCGCUGACCAUCCUGGAGAGGAGUCAUCGCUUCACCAUGGAAGAGUUAGACAACCAACGCUGUAAGCUGCAAGAAUCUACGGAUGAGGUGACCCGGCUCAAGCAGUUGAUAUCAGCGAAGGACGCCACUAUCAAAGAACUCCGAGCUUCCAAGAAAUCCAUCGCCCAGGAGUUAGAAACUGCUCAGCUGGCUGCCAAGGUUGCCGAAGAUACUUCCGUUACUCUCAGAGCCCAGCGCGACAGAGCCAUGGAUAAGGCCAUUCGGGCGGGGCGAAUCUUGAUGAGGAGACCCGGCGUGGUUGUUCCCGAAGAUAUAAGGGCUGACGUGAGUGCUACCCCUGAUUCCUCGAGUCGCCCUUCCUCAUCGAUUGCUCCUGAGAAAAAUAUCACAAAAUAGAGAAACAUUUUGCGUGCUUUGAGCGUGCGGUUAGCAUGGUCAGACAUUUGUAAGAAGACGUCAUUUCAGUACUUGAACGGCAUUGUUAUUCUCAUAUUGUUUCAGAAUUCAUCAGUUCGUAAAUUUGCAGUAGUAAAAUGAUGUGCGAUGGUUUUGAAACUUGUUUGCGGGAUAUAGAAGUCAUCCCUAUAUGAAUAAUCAUGAGCGCAUCAGAUCGCCUUAAGUCGCUGCUGACUUAAGUCGAUUGCUUCCGUUAAUAGGGUGUAGUGGUCACCCUGUAUUGCGUAGGCGCGAGCAUGUUGCACUGGCUUAAGUCGCUGCUGACUUUAGCCACUUGCUCUGUUGGCAGGGCAUAGUGGUCACCCCGAGUUAAGUAAGCACGAGCAUGUUGCACUGCCUUAAGUCGUUGCCGACUUAAGCCGAUUGCUCCGUUAGUAGGGCAUAGUGGUCACCCCGAGUUAAGUAAGCGUGAGCAUGUUGCACCGCCUUAAGUCGUUGCCGACUUAAGCCGAUUGCUCCGUUAGCAGGGCAUAGUGGUCACCCCGAGUUAAGUAAGCGUGAGCAUGUUGCACCGCCUUAAGUCGUUGCCGACUUAAGCUGAUUGCUCCGUUAACAGGGCAUAAUGGUCACCCCGAGUUAAGUAGGCGUGAGCAUGUUGCACCGCCUUAAGUCGUUGCCGACUUAAGCCGAUUGCUCCGUUAGCAGGGCAUAGUGGUCACCCCGAGUUAAGUAGGCGUGAGCAUGUUGCACCGCCUUAAGUCGUUGCCGACUUAAGCCGAUUGCUUCGUUAGCAGUGCAUAGUGGUCACCCUGAGUUAAGUAGGCGUGAGCAUGUUGCACCGCCUUAAGUCGUUGCCGACUUAAGCCGAUUGCUCCGUUAGUAGGGCAUAGUGGUCACCCUGAGUUAAGUAAGAAUGCAAGUCAAUCAUGAACAAACUGAGUAUCUUUGAAGCCCUUUUUUAUUGAUGACAUAUUUCCAUUUUACAGAGUACAUCGUCGUCCCGAUAGCUUUUGAAGUACAGCUAGGGAUAAAAUUUCCUGAGGUGUUCUAUAUUCCAGGAGUUCCCGACUUCUGUGUCGUCCAUCUGAGUGAGACGAUAUGUUCCUGGCCGAGUGACUUCUGCUACUAUGAAGGGUCCUUCCCAUAAGGGCGAUAACUUGUGUCAUCCCUCCCCCGUUAGAAUUCGGUGGAGGACGAGAUCUCCUACUGAGAAGGAUCGCUGCCGCACGGCCUUGUCGUGAUAGCGCCUUAGAGUCUGCUGGUAUCGUGCUGAUUGGAUUACUGCAUUCAGUCGUUCUUCCUCGAGUACAUCAAUGUCCUCCAGCCUGGUGGCUUCGACUUCUGCUGUGUUUUCGAAGAUCAACCUUGGCGCUCCGAACUUGAGGUCGGCUGGUAAUACUGCCUCUGACCCAUAGACCAUGAAGAAAGGAGUGUUUCCAUGCAGAGCUCGGCUAGGCUGGGUUCUUAGGCUCCAAACAACAUAGGGAAAUUCUCUUAUCCAUUUUCCUGCGAACUUUUCAUUCUUAUCGAAGACCUUUUUCCUGAGUGCCUCCAGUAUCAUCCCGUUGGCUCGCUCAACCUGCCCGUUGGCUCUUGGAUGUGCUACAGAAGCAUACUUGAUCUGAAUGCUUUUUUGCUCGCAAAAGUCGAAGAACUCUGAACUUGUGAAGUUGGAUCCUAGGUCAGUUAUGAUGUUGUUUGGUAUCCCGAAUCUGAAUAUUAUGUCUUGUAUGAAUUCCACGGCCUUAGCUGAGGUCAAAGAGGCAAUGGGUUUGAAUUCUAUCCAUUUAGUGAAUUUGUCAAUUGCUACCAGUACAUGAGUGUAUCCUCCUUGAGCUUUCUUGAAGGGUCCAAUCAUAUCCAGUCCCCAGCACGCAAAUGGCCAAGUCACUGGUAUGGUCUGCAGUUGCUGUGCUGGUAGAUGUUGUUGCUUUGACAAGUACUGGCAAGCUUCGCACUUCUGAACUAACUCGGCUGCAUCACUCUUCGCUGUUGGCCAAUAGAAUCCUGACCUUAAAACCUUCCCGACUAGUGUCUUGGACGCCGCAUGUAUUCCACAUUGCUCGGCAUGGACCUCCUCCAGAAGUCGCUUCCCAGUAGAUGAGAGAAUGCACUUCAUGAGGACGCCUGAUGCACCCCUUCUGUAUAAUGUCUCCCCAAUGAGUGUGUAGUGAGCCGACUGUCUGGCAAUGCGCUCAGCUGCAUUUUUAUCAUCUGGCUCCUCUUCAUUCUUUAUAUACCUGAUGAUUGGCCUUCUCCAGUCAUCAGAAUCUGACUCGGGUUGACUUAUAAUAUUACACUCUUCUGCUUGAUCCAUUGAGAUGCUCGGCUGUAGUAUUUCUUGCACAAAGACUCCAGGUGGGACCUGAGUUCGGCUGGAUCCUAGCUUGGAUAACACAUCGGCUAUCGUGUUCCGAUUUCUUUUUACAUGAUGAAAUUCUAGACCCUCAAAUUUAUCUUCUAGCUUUUGGACGGCAGUGCAGUACUUUCCCAUUGAAUCGCUUGAACAAUCCCACUCCUUGUUUAUCUGGCUGAUGACUACCAGAGAGUCUCCGUACACCAUCAGUCUCUUGAUGCCCAAUGAUAUGGCGAUGUUCAAUCCAUGGAUCAGUGCUUCAUAUUCGGCUGCAUUGUUGGAGGCCGGAAACAGCAACUGGAGGGCAUAUUUGAGGUGCUCGCCUCCAGGUGCGGCGAAGAGAAUUCCCGCUCCUGCUCCCUGCAGCUUCAGCGAGCCAUCAAAAUACAUUCGCCAUACUUCUGCAGUCUCUAGGUUAUCUGGUACUUGCUGUUCAGUCCACUCUGAUAUGAAAUCAACCAGUGCUUGAGUUUUGAUGGCAGUGCGAGGUCGGAACUCGAUGUCAUGAGAUCCCAACUCGCAAGCCCACUUGGCUAUUCGGCCAAUGGCUUCCUUGUUGUGAAGAAUAUCCCCUAUCGAAAAACCAGUGACUACUAUGACUUUGUGGUCGUCAAAGUAGUGACGUAGCUUGCGGGCGGUUAGAAGUACUGCGUAUAAUAGCUUCUGAACUUGAGGAUACUUUUUCUUUGAGGGACCCAAAACCUCACUGAUGAAGUAAACAUGAUGUUGCACUGGGUAGGCAUGUCCUUCUUCUGCUCACUCAACUACCAACACGGUGCUUACCACGUGAGUCGUGCAAGAGAUAUACAGUAGCAGAUCUUCAGCUGGUUGAGUCGACGUAGCUCGUCGUGGUGGCUUCAGCACUGGUGGUGUUGUCAAGAAUUUCUUCAGUGCAUCUAGAGCUUCCUGUGCCUCUGAAGUCCACUGAAACUUAUCCACCUUCUUGAGUAGCUUGUAAAAUGGUAGAUCUUUUUACCCCAACCUGGAUAUAAAUCUACUCAGAGCUGCCAUACAUCCAGUAAGUCGCUGAACCUUCUUUUGUGAUCGAGGUGCUUCCAUCUUCAUGAUAGCUUCAAUCUUGUCCGGAUUAGCCUCGAUUCCCCGGUGGCUGACAAUAAACCCGAGUAACUUUCCUGCUGGUACCCCAAAAACACAUUUUUCGGGAUUAAGCUUCCAUCGAUACCACCUCAGACUGUUGAAAACCAGCUAUAAGUCUUCGAUGAAGUUUUCCGAGUUCUCCGUUUUGAUUACCACGUCAUCCACGUAGGCCUCCACACGCUUGCCCCAGUGAUCGGCUAAGCAUGUUUGAAUAGCUCUCUGAUAAGUUGCUCCAGCGUUUUUGAGACCGAACGGCAUGGAGGUAUAACAGAAAGCACCGAACGAAGUGAUGAACGUUGUUUUUUCCUCGUCUUCCUUUGCCAAACUAAUCUGAUGGUAUCCAGAAUAGCAAUCCAGGAAAGACAGCACAGAACAUCCAGCGGUGGAGUCCACCACCUGAUCUAUCCUCGGGAGCCCGAAGGGAUCCUUCGGACAGUGCUUGUUGAGAUCAGUAUAGUCAACGCACAUGCGCCAAUCCACUUUAUUCUUUUUGAGUACAAGAACAGGGUUGGCUAACCACUCAGGGUGUAACACCUCUCUAAUAAAUCCAGCCGCGACCAAGCGAGCUAACUCGGCGCGAAUGGCCUCUCUCUUGUCGGGCGUGAAGCGACGUAGUUUUUGCCGAAUCGGCCUUGCCUGGGGAUAGACCUUCAGUUUGUGCUCGGCCAGUUCUCUUGGGACUCCCGGCAUAUCCGCAGGUUGCCAUGCGAAUACAUCUCGGUUAUCUUGCAAGAACUGGACGAGCGCGCUUUCCUAUUUGUCGUCCAGGCUGGAGCUGAUGAUGGCAGUCUUGCGUUCAUCAGCGAAACCCAGGUUGAUCCUUUUAGUUUCUUCAGUUGGCCGCAUAGAGGUCGCAGCCUGAGCUUCAUUUGCUGGUACUGCAAGGUCCUCCUCAGGCUUAGAGUUUGCCUGUGUUGAAGAAAUUGUCGAUGGCUUGGUGGUGAGGGCCGCUUGGAUGGCCACUCGGAAACACUCUACGGCGCCUUGGAAGUCGGCGCGCACAGUUAUGAUUCCUUGUGGUCCUGGCAUCUUCAGUAUCAUGUACGUGUAAUGAGGAAUGGCCAUGAAUUUGGCCAAUCCCGGCCUCCCGAUGAUGGCGUUGUACCCGCAGUCGAAGUUCGCCACUUCGAACCUCAGGAACUCGAUUAUGUAGUUCUCCAGAGUUCCGAAGGUAACGGGCAUGUAGAUGUGGCCCAGCGGGUAUUCCCCCUCAGUCGGCACGAUGCCGAAGAAGGGAGUAUCCGACUCGUGGAGCUCUUUGAGGUGAACUCCCAAGCCUUGCAGUGUCCGGGGGAAGGUGACGUUGAUGCUUGUCACACCCGGUUUUAGAAGGCAAACCGAAUGCGAACCAUGUACGUGCCAGGAUCAGUUAUUCACGUACACAGCAGUUACAUAAUAUGGACAUCAUCACACAGUGCUCAAAAUAGUAUUAAUAAGGGAAAUAGUCGAUUACAUCAUACGUCUGAGACGUCCAUAUAGUUCUUACAAUAAAUCAAAGUGCGGAAAAGAAACGUAGAUAAACGCGGCCUUCACAGGCAGCCGACUGGGGGUUGCCGCUAACCCACACCUAGAACUCGUCGUAGUCUUGGAACUCCUGGAAGUCUCCUUCCACAGCUUCAUCUUCGCCUGAGCAGUGGUUGCAAUGCUGACAACCUGGGGGGGUUUGGUGUGUAGAGCAAGGGUGAGUACACAUCAACAUACUCAGCAAGUAUCCUGUUUGGCUGUAGUGGACUAGCUGUAUGUGGGGAUAAGUCAAGCAGUUGCUUUUAGUUGGUCAGAUUAUUAUUUACUAGUAGAAAGCCAAGUUUUAGCAUUUACCCAAGUUAUUAACCCAAACGUACUCCUUUCCAAACGGAAAGAGUACCACUUACCAGCACCAUAGUCAUAACCAAAACCUUCAAUCUCAUAACCACCUGUACCAAAGUAUCUCUGAUCAAGUACCACUAAUCAUUGGAGCUCCCUUGGCCGCUCAUAACCGUGAGCACGGCUGAUAUAUCAGUUUUCAAACACUCUGCAGAGGUUGUGCACUUUACCCACAAGCCGUGAUUCCCAUUCUGCCCGGAGAUCAUGACUCCCCAUUGAUCACUACCAAGGUGACCCAGCAGGGCAUCACUACGUAGCCUUUACAAAGAUUCCCCGGGGCUGUAGCCACCCGUUAGGUUUCCUAAAUGCACCGCACUCCUCCCCAAGGGGUGAACCCAAACUUGGCAGAGCGAGCCGCAUACACCGAGCCCCAUUGACGGCACGACGGCUAAGUGAACUACACCCCGGAUCCUCUAAUUAUUCAGCUAAGGGCAUCCCAUUCCACCCUCAUGGUUGCACUGUUUUCCCGGGCGGUCAUCCAUAGAACAGGUCCUUACGGAGAGGCACUCGAGAAACCGCUCGAGCCCCCUUGAAGACCACAAGUAUAACAUCAUAAAUAAGAGAAGGGAAAACAGCGUAUCAUAGAUAAUCUCAUCAUGUUCAUUGAUUAGAGUUUAAGCAAUAGCAUAAAGCUAAACAGUAAUAAUCCAACCCAGAUAGGUAAACAAGGACAUGGAUAACAAAAGCUAGUCAAUCCUUAGGCAUAAAUGUGUAAAGCGGGAGGUGAAUUAAAGAAUGAAUAGGACAGAGAUAGGUCAAGGGACACUUGCCUCCACCAACCGACUGCUGCUCAGGGGCUUCUCCUGCGAGUUCCUCGGGCUCUUCAACCGGAUCGUUCUCUAAGCGGGUGCAAACAUACAUACAUCCAUCCAUCGAAAUUAGGAAACCAACAGUACACCAUACAAGAGAACAAGUAAAGCAAAUAUGCAUAGAAUACCACAUACGAUAAUGAAUUUACCUUGGUUAGAAAGAAACGAGGGAAAGUUUCGCAGAGGUUGAGGCUUAUACUCGAGGGACACUACGGGUAGACGAAAGACUAGACGUCACGUGCUCUAGUUUUAAUUAGUUUUAACAAAAGAAUUAGCUACAUGCACUAAUGUAAUCGCAACCACUUUUAGUAGAUUAACAUUGAACGAGAUAGAUGAUUAGUUAUACGAAUUAACUAACGUAACCAAUUUCCAAAUUGAGACUCCUAUCUUAUUAAUAUAAACGACGUGAUUAGCGCAUAUAGGAGACGGGGGGGUAGACGAGGGGUUAGGGGGUAGACGAGGGGUUAGGGGGUAGACGAGGCACGACGAGUCGUGCCAAGGCACGCGCACUACGCGGGCACGCACGCGAGACCGCACGCACUCGCCACGGACUAACCGUACGCACGUCGGGGCCGUGCGCUAGCCGAGCUCAAAGCCGCGCGCCAUAGGCACGCUGGGCCAAGCUCGAGGCCACGCAGGGGCCGACACGACGCGAGCAAGGCACGGCGGGGCGAGCGGGCAAGCACACCGGGGCCAGCGAGCGCGAGCGAGCGAGGACGCGGCCGGACGAGGCCGAGCGCGGGGACGGGGCGGUCGAGCCGGGGCACGGGGGCGGUUGAACCGGGGGGGGCGCCGAGCUCGCCGGGAGGCGGGCGCGCGCGGGCGGCUCGCCGGAGCGGGCGCGAGGGCGGGGCCGAGCCGGGCCGGGCGAGGGCGGCUCGCCGGAGGGCGGCGAGGCGGGGCCGACGCGGGCGCGGGGCUCGCCGGGGGCGAGGCAGCCGAGGGCGGCCAAGCCGGGGGCGGGCCGAGGGGCGCGGCCGAGCGCGGGAUGGGGCGGGGGCUCGCCGGAGCGGCCGGGGUCGGGGACGGGCCGGGGUCGGGGACGGGCCGGGCGGCUCGCCGGGGGCGGCCGGGGCGGCGAGGCGGGGCGGGCCGGGGCGAGGCAAGGGCGGGCUCGCCGGAGCGGCCGAGCCGAGCGGCCGGGGGCGGGGACGGGCCGGGCGGCCGGGGUCACCGGGGCCGCGGCGGACGAGGGCGAGGGCGGCCGGGCGCGGGAGGCCGUGGGCAACCGGGGGAGAGGCGGCGCGGGCGGGGCCGAGCCGGGGGAGGUCGGGGCGCGGGCUCGCCGGGGGCCGAGGCAGCUCGCCGGGGCCGGACGGGGUCGGGGCGGGGGAGGCCGCUGAGGCGGGGGCGGGCGCGGCGGCGCCGGCCGAGGACGGCGCGGGGGCGGCCGGGGGAGGCCGGACGCGGGAUGCCGGGGCGGGGGUGGCCGAACCGGGUGGCCGGGCGGGCGAGGGAGGAGGAGGGAGAAGGGGGAAGGAGAGGGGAGGAGGGGGGCCUCACCGGAGGGGGGCGGCGCGGCGGCGGCGCCGGGGAGGGGAGAGGCGGCGGCGGCGGCGCUAGGGCAAGGGCGGCGCGGUUAGGGUUUGGGGAGAGAGAGAGCGAGAGAAUGACGGGCGGGGCCCGCGGGGGGGAUUUUUGGGAAAAAAAGAAAAGGGUGGGGGGGCGGCUGGGCCGGAUGGGCCCAAAGUGGGGGAAGGGGGGGCGCGCGCGGCUGGGCUGGCCGGGGGGCCCACGCGGGAGGGGAGGGGGGGAGGCGCGGCUGGGCCGGCGCGCAAGGGGGAGGGGGGCGGCUGGGCCGAAAUGGGAAAGGGAGGGGGGGAGAGAAAAAGAAAGAGUUUUCUUUUUCUAAAAUCUAAUUUUCUCGGGGUGAAAGCUUUUACGUUUUAAACAACCAAAAGUAUGCAUGGUUCGGCAUGGUGCAUCACACGAAAUAAAGUGUUUUAAGGUUUUGCUUUACACGAGGUCUAAAGCCAAAACCCGCUGCGACUUUGGAAAAGAUCAAGGCUUAGCGAGAAGAAAAGGGAAAAGGAAAGAGUAACGCCUGAAUUUGGUGAGAGAAAAGAAGAAAAAAAUCUACCCCCAAAUUCAGGGCGUUACAAACCUAUCCCCCUUAAAAGAAUCUCGCCCUCGAGAUUCAGGGUUGGCUAGCAAAGAGCUCAGGGUAUUUGGCCAUCAGAUCAUCUUCACGCUCCCAGGUUGCUUCUUCCUCUGAGUGAUGAUCCCAUCUGACUUUGCACAUUCUGAUGGUCUUCCUUCGGGUGACUCGGUCUGCAACCUCAAGGAUCUGCACUGGCUUCUCAACGUAGGUCAAGUCCUCCUGGACUUCAAGACCUUCCACUGGCAACUGCUCUUCUGGCACACGCAAGCACUUCUUCAACUGAGACACAUGAAAGACAUCAUGCACAGCUGACAAAUUCUCGGGCAAACUGAGCUGAUAAGCCACUUCUCCACGUCUUACAAGAACCUGAUACGGGCCAAUGUAGCGGGGUGCUAGCUUGCCUUUCACUCCGAACCUUCUGACUCCUCUGAUCGGUGACACUUUCAGAUAGACAAAGUCUCCGACUUCGAAACUCAGCUCUCUUCUUCUUGUGUCUGCAUAGCUUCGCUGCCUCAAUUGCGCUAUCUUCAGAUUCUCUCGGAUCAUCUUGAUGUUCUCUUCGGCUUCAAGCAAAAUGUCUGGCCCAAACACUUGCUUCUCUCCAGGCUGAUCCCAUUGCAACGGAGUUCUACAACUCCUUCCAUAAAGCGCCUGAAAUGGUGACAUCUUCAAACUGGCCUGGUAACUGUUGUUAUAGGAAAACUCUGCAUAAGGCAAUCUCUUGUCCCAUCCGGACUGAUCUUGCAACGCACAGGCUCUCAACAUGUCUUCAAGAAUUUGAUUGGUUCUUUCGGUCUGGCCAUCUGUCUGCGGAUGAUAAGCUGAACUGAAAUUCAGAUGCGUGCCCAAAGCUUCAUGCAACUGCUGCCAGAAAUGAGAGGUGAACUGCGUUCCUCUGUCUGACACUAUCUUCUUUGGCACACCAUGAAGACAAACGAUCCGAGACAUAUACAACUCUGCCAAUACGGCACUGCUAUAGUUGGUCUUGACAGGUAUGAAGUGGGCUGACUUGGUCAAGCGGUCCACUACUACCCAGAUGGAAUCGUAGCCGGCUCGAGUGCGAGGCAAUCCGACUAUGAAAUCCAUACCAAUUUCAUCCCAUUUCCACUGAGGGAUCUGCAACGGUUGCAACAAUCCGGCAGGUCUCUGGUGCUCUGCCUUAAUUCUUCGGCAACUAUCGCACAUAGCCACAUGCUCUGCGAUUUCCCUCUUCAUUCCGUACCACCAGAAUUUCUUCUUCAGAUCCUGAUACAUCUUCUCACUGCCAGGGUGAAUCGAAUAAGCUGUCUCAUGAGCUUCUUUAAGAAUCAAUUCCCGAAUGGACUGGACAUUGGGAACACACAAGCGGUCUCUGAACCAUAUCACGCCUUCUGCGUCUUUUCGAAAAUCUUUGCCUCUGCCAUCUAGAAUCAGUCGCCGAAUCUCACUGAUUUUCUCAUCAUUCUUCUGCGCUUCUUUGAUUUCGCGCUCCAAGGUAGGUUCCAACUCAACUGUGACUCCUCGCGAAUUAUUCAGAAAUCCGAGACUCAACCUGUCAAACUCCUUAGCCAACUCAUAAGGCAUCGGACGAGCGACCAUCAGAUUGACUUGACUCUUUCUGCUCAAAGCAUCUGCCACUAUGUUUGCUUUGCCUGGAUGGUAAUGAAUCUCCAACUCAUAAUCUUUGAUCAACUCUAACCAUCUUCGUUGCCUCAUGUUCAACUCUGACUGAGUGAAUAUGUACUUCAGACUCUUGUGAUCUGUGUAAACAUCACAUUUCUGUCCAUACAGAUAGUGCCUCCAUGUCUUCAGCGCGUGAACCACUGCUGCCAACUCUAGAUCAUGGAUUGGGUAAUUCUUCUCAUGAACCUUCAACUGUCGGGACGAGUAAGCCACAACUCUUCCCUCUUGCAUCAAUACGCAUCCCAAACCUGUGUAACAAGCAUCACAAUACACCGAGAAGGGCUUGUGCACAUCAGGCAAGACUAGGACAGGCGUUGUAGUCAACUUCUCUUUCAGCGCUUCAAAGGCCUCUUGGCAUUUCUGGGUCCACUUGAACUCAACUUUGUUGCCUAGCAACGCUGUCAUUGGUUUCGCAAUCUUCGAAAACCCUUCAAUGAAUCACCGAUAAUAUCCAGCCAUUCCAAUAAAGCUCUUGAUUCCUCUAGCAUCUGUUGGCGCUUUCCAGUUCAGAAUGGCUGCCACUUUCUUCGGAUCCACAGCCAAUCCUUCUUUAUUGAUUAUGUGACCCAAGAACAGGACUUCACUGAUCCAGAACUCACACUUGCUCAACUUUGCAUACAACUGGUGCUCUCGCAAUCUCUGCAAUACCAUCCUCAAAUGAUCUUCAUGCUCUUCUUCGCUUUGAGAAUAAACCAGAAUGUCAUCAAUGAAUACCACCACAAACUUAUCGAGAUAAUCCAUGAAUACACUAUUCAUCAAGUUCAUGAAGAACGCUGGCGCAUUGGUCAAACCAAAAGACAUCACUGUGAACUCGUACAAACCAUACUUGGAAAUGAAUGCCGUCUUCGGAAUGUCCGAGGGUCGGAUCCUGAGCUGGUGAUAACCUGACCUCAGAUCAAUCUUGGAGAACACGCUGGCUCCUCUCAACUGGUCGAAUAGAUCUUCUAUUCUGGGCAAGGGAUACUUGUUCUUGAUCGUGACCUCAUUCAAAGCUCGGUAAUCAAUACACAUUCUCUUGGUGCCAUCUUUCUUCUCCACAAAUAGGACAGGGGCGGCCCAAGGCGAGGUGCUUGGCCGAAUGUAACCUUUCUCUGACAGCUCAUCAAUCUGCUCCUUAAGCUCAACCAACUCUGGUCCAGAUAUUCUGUAAGCUCUCUUGAAGAUAGGGGCGGUUCCGAGAAGAAGCUCUAUGGCAAACUCAACUUUCCGCUCUGGUGGCAUACCCGGUAAGUCUUUCGGAAACACAUCUGGGAACUCGGACACAACCUUGAUACUCUCGAUCGGGUCUGCUUCACUGCUAUCAACAGCCAUCUGAUAACAACUUCCUUUCUUUGGCUCAGGCGGGACUAACUCGGUUACCACUUCCUCUCCUAGUGGGGACACCAACUUGAUGGUCCUUUUAUCGCAACUGAUAACUGCCUGAUACUUAUCUAGCCAAUUCAUCCCUAGGAUGACAUCUAUUCCCUGAGUACCCAUUACUAUAAGGUUGGCGGGAAACGCUAUCCCCCUUAUUUUCACACUUAUAUUCAAACAAAUGCUAUCGGCUCGAAUUCUACCACCGGCUGAGUCAAUUUGAAUGGGGGUUGACAUGGUAGUAAUUGGAAGAUUAUGUGCUUCUACCCAUGAUGCAGUAGUGAAAGAAUGUGUUGCUCUAGUAUCAAAUAACACUUCUGCAAUAUGGGAGUCGACUGGGAACAUACCUACUAUCAUGCCGGGGGUCUCCUGAACUGCUUCAGCUUCCAAGUGGUUCAGUCUUCCAUGAUUAUAGCGCGGCUAAGAGCGGUUGCCUGAUCCAGGCUGAGACACAUUCUGCUUUGCUGGGGCAUUGGGGCCUGACUGCUGCUGGGCUGCCUUCUUCGGACAUUGCAUCACCCAGUGGCCUUGCUCUCCACAGUGGAAACAUGCCCUGUUUCCAACCUGAGCUGGUGCUGCCUGACUGUUCUGCUGGUUUGCUGGGGCAGGAAGGCGAGGUGCCUGCUGAUUCUGCCUUUGAAACUGACCUCCUGACUGAUUGCUCUGAUGGUUCUGGCACUGGUGCUGAGGAUACUGCCUUUGGAACUGCUGAUGCUGCUGAGGUGGACGCUGGUUCUGCCUGAACUGCUGAGGUUGAUUGCCUGAGAAACGAGGACGAUUGCUGCUUCCAGGCUGGGGUCCACUGAUCUUGCGCUUACGAUCUUCCAUCUCCUUCCUCUUUCUCUCUGUCAUGAUUGCUCUGUCAAUCAGGUGCUGGAAUGUCGGGAAGGUGUGAUUCAUCAGUUGGUACUGCAGAGGGUCAACCAAGCCUCUCAGGAAACGGUACUGUCGCUUGGCGUCGGUGUUGACAUCCUCAGGAGCAUAGCGAGACAACUGCAGAAACCUGUCUCGGUACUCACUGACAGACAAUGGUCCUUGCUUGAGGGCCAGGAACUCCUCCUUCUUCACUGUCAUCAGACCUGCAGGCACAUGGUACUGACGAAAGCUACCUCUGAACUCUUCCCAGGUGAUGGCGUCUGGAUGGGCAUGGGUGGCGAGGUAAGACUCCCACCAUGAUUGGGCUGCUCCUCUCAACAGACGGGGACCAUACAGGACUUUCUCCCUGUCAUCGCACUGAGCGGUAUGCAACUCCCGCUCCACAGUGCGCAGCCAAUCUUCAGCAUCCAUAGGGUCAGAAGAAUGAGCGAACGUUGGUGGAUGACCUCUCAUGAAUUCAGCACGCUUGUCUCUGGGCAUCUGAGGCAUCUGAGGCUGAGGUGGGGCCUGCUGCUGUUGCUGCUGCUGCUGCUGAAUGGCGGCCAAAGUCUGACCGAUGGCUUGAACUGCCUGAGUCUGCAUCAGAAACAUCUGCUCGAUCGACAUCGGGGGCGGGGGCGGUAGGUGCUGCUGCUGGGGCACCUCCUCCUGUUGAGCGGCUCGCUCCUGCUGAGCACGCCUUCCUCCUCUGCGCCUGUUCUCUGACAUCUGCAGAAUGCAACCACACAUCAGAACUGAUCUGGCAAAUCUUGCAGCAUAGGAAAAGAGAAUAGAAUUCUUCAACAGCACUGAACAGAUGAGCAUCUUCACCGAUCUCCAACACAGACCACACAACUUCUCAGAUAGAAAGGAAAGUGGAAUAAAAGGGGUUUCCCAACUAUAUAACUAACUCCAUUAACACAAUAGAUAAACCAAAAUGCAGGGGAUACCCACACUCUGGUGACAGUCAUUACAAAGAUCCAAACCAAACAUAGUUCAUCAUGACAAACAUAAAUGCACAGGAUAUAGCAAACUACCCUGUCUAACUAAGACUAACUAAGACCGAAACCAACGCUAAGACUGAAGCUUCUACGUAUAUAUUUCGUAUUAAUUACAAGAUCCAACUCUAACGAUCUAUGGUUCUAGAGUUAUCUUGGUCUUGCAGUCGGGGUUGCCAUAAGACUGGUGUCCACGCUGAGGUGAGCGGUACGGGUGCUAAGUCCCGACGGGAGCGGGGGAACCACCAUCCAGGUGACGACGUUCCGCGCGCUCAGCCCGCAGCAGGGCGAUCUCAGCACGAGCCCUACUCAGCUCAUCUAAUGCAUGGUCCAGCUCCGUGUUUAGCACGGCGGCUAGGUUGACUGUGCUGCUCAACCUAGGAUUGCCCUCACCGACAGGUGAGACAAUCACGCCUCCUGUGCUGCCAAAUGGACGGCGGGGGUAAUACUUCAGGUCAAGACCGUCAGCUGCCCCACCGAAAACCGAGUAGUAGUGCGAAAGCGCACGCCGUGCAGCAUCUUGCAUGGCUGCCUCAGCUGAGUCCCGCUCAGAGAUAGAAUAGUGCUCUGAACAGGCCUCUGCACCCUGGAGACUGUUCUCCGGGCAGCGCACCAAGCAGGUUGCCUCCCAGCGGUCCGGGUAGACCCCGCGACUAUGCUGGUAGACCACACAGCGAUACUCGACGGACCAAGUAUGCCGGUUAAAUGCCCGACGUAGCAGGGUGUCGAGCGCAUCAUGGAAGUGACACCCGCGAGCAGCGUCGCGAGUGAUGGGUCGAGCAACCCAUCCUUCCGGCUCAGGGUUAGCAGAGAAGUCGGUGUCGUGGCUCGAGCUGUCGUCGCCACCUCCGUCGUCUGGGUCUCCUCCAGCAGCUACUCCAGAGGCUGGGGCGCCCAGUGGUGGUGCAGGGGGCGGCUCCAGAGGAAGCACAGGGGAGCAGCUCCUCACAGACUCUAUCUCCUGCUGGAGCGAGAAGGAAGAGCUCUGCUGCUCCUGUCGUUGACGCUCCUGCUCCUCACGCAGGCGGUGGUGUAGUCUCUCCAAGUGGCUGGACUGUCCGGCCACGGGACGGCGAAGCGGACGCUCAGCAAGGCGGGAGGGUAAGAAGGGGAUGACUGACUUUCGUGCAGUGUGUCUAAGUCGAGCCAUCUACAAAAGACAUCGCAAGCAAAAGGGGUGAGAACAGAAUUAAUAUGACCAGCAAGUAAUGAAUCAUAAGUAAAUAAAGGAUUAGAAUAAAACACAAUUUUCAGCAAGGUAUAUUAUAUAGUAGAACAAAGGUUUGGUCGGUAUGACCAACUUUUGAAGGGAUAUCAAAGUCAAGGCAGAGACAGAGGUCUAUAGUCCUUAGAACGACCAUUCUACUCUAGGUUAGCGGUCCUACAGUCAGCACGGCUUUGAUACCACUUAUGUCACACCCGGUUUUAGAAGGCAAACCGAAUGCGAACCAUGUACGUGCCAGGAUCAGUUAUUCACGUACACAGCAGUUACAUAAUAUGGACAUCAUCACACAGUGCUCAAAAUAGUAUUAAUAAGGGAAAUAGUCGAUUACAUCAUACGUCUGAGACGUCCAUAUAGUUCUUACAAUAAAUCAAAGUGCGGAAAAGAAACGUAGAUAAACGCGGCCUUCACAGGCAGCUGACUGGGGGUUGCCGCUAACCCACACCUAGAACUCGUCGUAGUCUUGGAACUCCUGGAAGUCUCCUUCCACAGCUUCAUCUUCGCCUGAGCAGUGGUUGCAAUGCUGACAACCUGGGGGGGUUUGGUGUGUAGAGCAAGGGUGAGUACACAUCAACAUACUCAGCAAGUAUCCUGUUUGGCUGUAGUGGACUAGCUGUAUGUGGGGAUAAGUCAAGCAGUUGCUUUUAGUUGGUCAGAUUAUUAUUUACUAGUAGAAAGCCAAGUUUUAGCAUUUACCCAAGUUAUUAACCCAAACGUACUCCUUUCCAAACGGAAAGAGUACCACUUACCAGCACCAUAGUCAUAACCAAAACCAUCAAUCUCAUAACCACCUGUACCAAAGUAUCUCUGAUCAAGUACCACUAAUCAUUGGAGCUCCCUUGGCCGCUCAUAACCGUGAGCACGGCUGAUAUAUCAGUUUUCAAACACUCUGCAGAGGUUGUGCACUUUACCCACAAGCCGUGAUUCCCAUUCUGCCCGGAGAUCAUGACUCCCCAUUGAUCACUACCAAGGUGACCCAGCAGGGCAUCACUACGUAGCCUUUACAAAGAUUCCCCGGGGCUGUAGCCACCCGUUAGGUUUCCUAAAUGCACCGCACUCCUCCCCAAGGGGUGAACCCAAACUUGGCAGAGCGAGCCGCAUACACCGAGCCCCAUUGACGGCACGACGGCUAAGUGAACUACACCCCGGAUCCUCUAAUUAUUCAGCUAAGGGCAUCCCAUUCCACCCUCAUGGUUGCACUGUUUUCCCGGGCGGUCAUCCAUAGAACAGGUCCUUACGGAGAGGCACUCGAGAAACCGCUCGAGCCCCCUUGAAGACCACAAGUAUAACAUCAUAAAUAAGAGAAGGGAAAACAGCGUAUCAUAGAUAAUCUCAUCAUGUUCAUUGAUUAGAGUUUAAGCAAUAGCAUAAAGCUAAACAGUAAUAAUCCAACCCAGAUAGGUAAACAAGGACAUGGAUAACAAAAGCUAGUCAAUCCUUAGGCAUAAAUGUGUAAAGCGGGAGGUGAAUUAAAGAAUGAAUAGGACAGAGAUAGGUCAAGGGACACUUGCCUCCACCAACCGACUGCUGCUCAGGGGCUUCUCCUGCGAGUUCCUCGGGCUCUUCAACCGGAUCGUUCUCUAAGCGGGUGCAAACAUACAUACAUCCAUCCAUCGAAAUUAGGAAACCAACAGUACACCAUACAAGAGAACAAGUAAAGCAAAUAUGCAUAGAAUACCACAUACGAUAAUGAAUUUACCUUGGUUAGAAAGAAACGACGGAAAGUUUUGCAGGGGUUGAGGCUUAUACUCGAGGGACACUACGGGUAGACGAAAGACUAGACGUCACGUGCUCUAGUUUUAAUUAGUUUUAACAAAAGAAUUAGCUACAUGCACUAAUGUAAUCGCAACCACUUUUAGUAGAUUAACAUUGAACGAGAUAGAUGAUUAGUUAUACGAAUUAACUAAUGUAACCAAUUUCCAAAUUGAGACUCCUAUCUUAUUAAUAUAAACGACGUGAUUAGCGCAUAUAGGAGACGGGGGGGUAGACGAGGGGUUAGGGGGUAGACGAGGGGUUAGGGGGUAGACGAGGCACGACGAGUCGUGCCAAGGCACGCGCACUACGCGGGCACGCACGCGAGGCCGCACGCACUCGCCACGGACUAACCGUACGCACGUCGGGGCCGUGCGCUAGCCGAGCUCAAAGCCGCGCGCCAUAGGCACGCUGGGCCAAGCUCGAGGCCACGCAGGGGCCGACACGACGCGAGCAAGGCACGGCGGGGCGAGCGGGCAAGCACGCUGGGGCCAGCGAGCGCGAGCGAGCGAGGACGCGGCCGGACGAGGCCGAGCGCGGGGACGGGGCGGUCGAGCCGGGGCACGGGGGCGGUUGAACCGGGGGGGCGCCGAGCUCGCCGAGAGGCGGGCGCGCGCGGGCGGCUCGCCGGAGCGGGCGCGAGGGCGGGGCCGAGCCGGGCCGGGCGAGGGCGGCUCGCCGGAGGGCGGCGAGGCGGGGCCGACGCGGGCGCGGGGCUCGCCGGGGGCGAGGCAGCCGAGGGCGGCCAAGCCGGGGGCGGGCCGAGGGGCGCGGCCGAGCGCGGGACGGGGCGGGGGCUCGCCGGAGCGGCCGGGCGCGGGCUUGCCGGAGCGGCCGGGCGCGGGGAAGGGCCGGGGUUGGGGACGGGCCGGGCGGCUCGCCGGGGGCGGCCGGGGCGGCGAGGCGGGGCGGGCCGGGGCGAGGCGAGGGCGGGCUCGCCGGAGCGGCCGAGCCGAGCGGCCGGGGGCGGGGACGGGCCGGGCGGCCGGGGUCGCCGGGGCCGGGGCGGACGAGGGCGAGGGCGGCCGGGCGCGGGAGGCCGCGGGCAACCGGGGGAGAGGCGGCGCGGGCGGGGCCGAGCCGGGGGAGGUCGGGGCGCGGGCUCGCCGGGGGCCGAGGCAGCUCGCCGGGGCCGGACGGGGUCGGGGCGGGGGCGGCCGCCGAGGCGGGGGCGGGCGCGGCGGCGCCGACCGAGGACGGCGCGGGGGCGGCCGGGGGAGGCCGGACGCGGGACGCCGGGGCGGGGGCGGCCGAACCGGGUGGCCGGGCGGGCGAGGGAGGAGGAGGGAGAAGGGGGAAGUAGAGGGGAGGAGGGGGGCCUCACCGGAGGGGGGCGGCGCGGCGGCGGCGCCGGGGAGGGGAGAGGCGGCGGCGGCGCUAGGGCAAGGGCGGCGCGGUUAGGGUUUGGGGAGAGAGAGAGCGAGAGAAUGACGGGCGGGGCCCGCGGGGGGAUUUUUGGGAAAAAAAGAAAAGGGUGGGGGGCGGCUGGGCCGGAUGGGCCCAAAGUGGGGGAAGGGGGGGGCGCGCGCGGCUGGGCUGGCCGGGGGGCCCACGCGGGAGGGGAGGGGGGAGGCGCGGCUGGGCCGGCGCGCAAGGGGGAGGGGGGCGGCUGGGCCGAAAUGGGAAAGGGAGGGGGGAGAGAAAAAGAAAGAGUUUUCUUUUUCUAAAAUCUAAUUUUCUCGGGGUGAAAGCUUUUACGUUUUAAACAACCAAAAGUAUGCAUGGUUCGGCAUGGUGCAUCACACGAAAUAAAGUGUUUUAAGGUUUUGCUUUACACGAGGUCUAAAGCCAAAACCCGCUGCGACUUUGGAAAAGAUCAAGGCUUAGCAAGAAGAAAAGGGAAAAGUUAAGAGUAACGCCUGAAUUUGGUGAGAGAAAAGAAGAAAAAAAAUCUACCCCCAAAUUCAGGGCGUUACAAUGCUGCUCCCCCGUCUACCAACACCUUCUUCACCCUGCUCUCUCGGAUCACCGGAUCGACGAGGAGCGGGUAUUUGCCUGGGUGGUCGAAGUUGAGCCAUUGAUCCGCCCGGGUGAAAGUGAUCGGGUGCUCUGACCACCGGUACGGGGCGGGAGGACCGGUGGUCGCCACCAGUAUUUGGCGAUCGUUGAGCUUUUGUUGUCUUCUGUUCUCCUGCGACCCGUGUCCGCCUAAGAUGACGUUGACCUCCCUGUCAACGCGCGGGAAAGCUCCUCCCCUCCCUCCUCCUGCUGCUGGGGUUGUCGUGGUUCUUCUGGUCCUCCCCUCGGUGGAGGAGGAGGUAGAGGUUGGAAGGGUCGGUCGUGUGACGGAACCUCCCAAGUAAUUAGGCCCACCUACAGUUGUCCUUGUCCAACGGACAUCAGACAACCCUGUAGGUGCCCCUGAACUACUUGACAAGUUCGGUAUCUUUCCUUACCUCACCAGGAACGUCUCACCCAUCUUGUAGAUAUUACAGAACAUCGGAGAUGAAGAAAUGCGGAAGCGAAUUACAUAAUCUUACAUUUAUUUUAAAAGCAAGUUUGAGUUAGGUUAUUACAGACCAGUCUAAAAGUGAGUGCAUAGAGGUAAUAUAAUACAAACCAGGGAGGCACAAACUCCUCCCGAGAAGCUAAAUGCAAAAGAUUCUUAAGUGGAGGACCGAGUCCUCCCGCACUUCAGUCUUGAUUUUCUUCUUUUGGAACCACCUUGGCACAGAAGCAGCAAAAGUCUGCUACUUCCUCACCUAAAAACAACGAAGGGAUAAACCCUGAGUAUGGAAUACUCAGCAAGUCUUACCCGACUAAAGAAAAGACUUUCAAGGGUAUGCUGGUUAUGUGGGAGUCAAGGUAAGGCUUUUCAAUAUUCAAAGACUCUGUUUUGCAGAAAUGCUUACUAAAGUGGAUCCUUAAAAAUCCAGUUUUAAUUUGUCAAGUUAAGUAAAAUUACCUGUACUAGAGUUCUUUCUACCCUAGUUCAAUCACUGGUCCUGCACUAGCCAAUUUCUUAACAAGAACCCAUCAUCUUUAGUGGAAUGCUACGUGUAAGUCAGUGGCCAAGUCUCCAUAACCGCGGAGGUACGGCGAUCCGAAUCGAUUAUACUCAGCUGAGGAUCUCCGAUCACACGACAUAUGUAGCACUUAACCCUUGCAUAUGUCAACCCGCCACCGGGGUUCUUAAGACCGGAUCAGGUUCACGCAAACCGAGAGCACAGAUACACCACCGUCCAGCCUCUUGCCACGGAGGGUACACGCUACUCUCGCCACCGCUCCACUCCCAUUUCGUGGUAUCUUAUUCCGGCCUUAGUCUGCCCGAGGCAAGGCUUACCCAUGACGAGGCAUGUGACCAGUUAAAGGGUCCUCGGUCAGCAGGCCUACAUCGAGACGGUCCUUAAUUGACUCAGACGGAGACACUACACCGAGACUCUCUUCUCGUGCAAGUCACCCGCCCGGUCUCAGCUUAAUCUUUUUAACCCAAAACUUGGUACCUGACAGAGGUACAUCUUUUCCGAUGUUGGACCCAUCAUGGCCAUGAUGGAUCCACCAUCAAGUUUUAUUUUUGAAAACAUCCCACCCACUUUUGCCACAUCAUAUUUGGUAAAAACAAAACCUUUUGUUUUUCUAAAGCAAAGCUAAGCAAAGUAAAACCUUUUGUAAAAACAGGAUUUCAAGGGGGGGUAAUCAAGAUCAAGGAAGGUAAUGCAGGAAUUGUUUAACAAUCAACUCCUAUAACUUAAUGCAGCAAGCAAGUGAGAAAAAUUUUAAAACAUCAAGGGAGGUGGCAAAUGCACCGGGGCUUGCCUUCGUUUACAGGUGAUUCAGGCUCGGAUCCACAAAUGUCGAAGUAGAAACUAUUCCCGGCCUGAGUGUCCAAAGGUGGUUGCACUUGCUCUUCAGUUACUUCUAUCUCUUCUUCUCGUUCUAAUCAUAACCAUACGUAUGUAUAAGAAUGGAUGCCAUGGGAUGCUCAUGAGGAUGCAAAGACAACAUAAACUUAUUAUUUAUGUCUUGAAUACAACUUGCCUUCACGGAGUUCCGGGAACUUAGGGUUUCCGGAGUCGGCAAAGGAGUUCAUAGGGCAGGGGGGGUGUUUUGGGGUUUGGUGAUCAAACAUGGUCCAAAUCAAUUCAAACUCUACCCAAGGCUUCUAAAUAUUGAAUAACAUUCAUAUAAAAAUUUUGGGCAUUUUAGGACCUAUCAAUUAUUUUCUAAAAAUCUAUAAUCAAGACUUUUAACUACUUUAAAUACCCUAAAAUUUCUUACUUCCACUAAAAAUCACCAACUUAUUUUUGUUAAAUACUAUAGAAAAUAACAAACCUAGGAAAAUUAGUUUCACAAUUUUAGCACUUUUCUACAUUUUUCUACACAUUUCUAAAGUUUUCCUGAAAAAGAAAAAGGAAAAGGGAUAAACAGAACUGGGCCGAUUCUGGCCCAGACGGCCCAAGCCUCAGAGAAAACGGGGCGCGCCCGCACCCGCGAGGGAGACUUUGCGCAGAGGCCCUCGACGUUUUGACUAAACCAGAACAGGGUCGUUCACUGUUUUCGCAAGUCACUGACAAAUCACAGAAAGACCCUUCCUCUUCUAUUUCUUUACCCGACACGCCCUCGACGACGGCAGCGCACGGAGGAACUCCGGCGAGCCACUGCACCGGCCGAUUGAGGUGAUGACCGGCGCACCCGAGCGGCAGACACCAAAUCCAAGCUACCCCGAGUAAUUCCCCUAAGUUAAUUGCACAAUUGGUGCCCUAUUCUAGCCUGCCCACGAGAACCGCGAAGACCAUGAUCGUUUGAUCGUGUUCCCGACAAAUGGGGGUCUCUUAGUUCAAAUUGGAGGCUCGGUAAGCAUCACAGGGUGACAAGAGUGCUCAAACAAGGGAGGGUGAGGGCUGAACGGACCUAGAAAGGGCUGACCGCGGUGAGCAGUUUCUUGCGGUGGCAGAAACUUGAUUUGGGGAGAACUCCAAAUUCGCGGAUUCCAGUGAAUGACUGUGGCUGAUUCGUGGUGGCUGGACAGCUUACUAGCCUACGGAGUUCGGGGAGGGGUCAAUUUAUAGCGAGGGUAAGCGGCGGUGGCGAAUUUGACCGAGCAGUGCUGGCGGCCGGAGGUGAAGAAGAACCUGGGUGCGGUGAAUUCGUGGCAAAUGGCGUGGCGAGCUCCCCGUCGACGAUGGGAUGGCUUAGAGGAGUCACGACGGCACGGUGUAAAGACAGAGCCACGCGGCGGACGCCGGUAAUGGCUCAACGGCGGUGAAAUCCUUAUCCGAGGGAUCGGUGAGCAAGGGGGAAUGGACUACGGCGGGCCGAGGUGGCAUCCAGCUCACCGGCGGCAAAGAUUUUUACCGAGCGGAACUUAUCUGAUGGCCACGACGCAUGAAUCUCGGCGACCGGUAAUCAACGACGACGGCCACCGGCGACGAGCACGGGAGGGGAUCUUUUUCAGUUUAACCGUACUGUACCAUGGCGCAUUCCAUUCAACAGCCUGUCAGCCGAACUUGGAGCAUCAUUUUCUCUUAAUUUCUAAUGUCAACAUAUGUCGAGCUCUGCAGCAAAAGUGUAGAGCAAUAUGCCCUCUACAACUUUGUAAUAUGAUGAUGCCACAAAAACUCAUUGGAUCAUGCUUGAAUUUAUACUUGAAGUUGAUGGCAUCAAUCUGUCAGUCUGAUUUUCAGACUUAUCCAACCUGACAGCCUGACUUUAGGCUUACUUAUCUCUGGAUUUUUCUUAACAAGUGAGCUUACCACCUUAAGCAAAGUUGUUCACCUAAGAUAGAUCUACAUAGUUGAUGUGGUGACCUAGGGCAAAAACCCUAUGCUUUACAAGUUACAAAGCCCUAAAGUGGAGCCUUUAACACUGAUUUUCAGACUUAGUGUAGAACUCAAAUGAGGUCCAUUUUGCACUUAAGUCCAAAUCUCAGGGUUUGGCUUGUAAUUUCACAUAUUUGUGAACCAAAUGACUUUAUAUGUCAAAACAUAGUAGUUUUUACACUUUAGUCCAAAGGUUCAUCAUUUUUGCACAUAAGCCCCUAGGGUUUGGUGUUAGGGUUUUCCAGGGUUCCAAUUAGGGUUUCUGGUAUCUCAGGGGUAUAAAAGUGAUUCAAGCUUAUUCUUAGGGUCAUUUUAUGACUUUUACCCUAAAGUCUUUUGGUUUUCUUAACUUGGGUUAAGUUUUACCCCUUUAACCACUAUUUAGGGUUAAGUCCAUUACCUAGGGUUCUAUUUGCAAAACACUUAAAACAAUACAACUUGUUUGAAAUUUUUGCCUAGUGAAUGCACUCUAGGUGUGUCAAACAUAUGCAAUGCCAAUGCUCAUGAUGCCAUGCUCAAGUUUUAGUUAUAGUAACACCAGGGGUGUUACAUCCUUCCCCCCAUAAAAGAAUCUCGUCCCGAGAUUAAAAAUCCUAGGGUAAGUAAUGGUAAAGGAAACGCAUCACAUUUUUAUUUCCUUAUUUUUGGUACAAGGCAGGGGUGAUGUGGGGGUUACUUCUUUAUUACAACAGCUAUACAGGCUUUACAAUUUACAUGAGGCUAAAAAGCCUGGGAAAUUCUUAUCCAAGAAGUCUUUGGUUUCCCAUGUAGCCUCAUCUUCCGAAUGCUGGUUCCACUGUAUCUUGUAGAAUUUGAGAGUCUUUCUUCGGGUGACCCUGUCCUUUUGAUCCAGAACUCGAAGAGGAUGUUCCGAGUAUGUUAAAUCUGGUUCCAGGACAACAUCAGUUAUUUCAACGGUUCGAUCAGGAACCCAAAGACACUUUUUCAAUUGUGACACGUGGAAUACAUUAUGCACAGCAGACAAUGUUUCGGGGAGCUGAAGUCGAUACGCCACUGGCCCAUAUCUUUCCAGAAUAAGAAAAGGACCAAUAUAUCGUGGUGCAAGUUUUCCUUUAACUCCGAAACGCGAUACACCCUUCAUUGGUGAGACCUUCAAGUAGACAUAGUCUCCUUCCAGGAAAUAUAAGGGCAUUCGCCGUUUGUCUGCAUAACUCUUUUGCCGUGCUUGAGCUUUCUUCAUAUUAUGGAUAAUUCUCUGAACCUUUUCUUCAACCUCUUUCACCAUAUCAGGUCUAAAGAAGUAUCUUUCUCCAGGUUCAGACCAAUUUAGCGGAGUUCGACACCGACGUCCAUAUAAAGCUUCAAAGGGUGCCAUCUUGAUACUUUCUUGAUAACUAUUAUUGUAUGAAAACUCCGCCAAAGGUAAACAUUCAUCCCAUUUUAGUGAGAAAUCCAGGACACAUGCCCGUAGCAUAUCUUCAAGUAUUUGGUUCACUCUCUCAGUUUGUCCACUGGUUUGAGGAUGAUAGGCCGAACUGUGGAGCAAUUUAGUACCCAAGGAGUUGUGAAGUGCUUCCCAAAACUUGGCUACAAAUUGGGGUCCACGAUCCGACACAAUGGUCUUCGGAACACCAUGCAGACUAAGAAUACGAGCAAUGUACAAUUGGGCGUAGACAGUAACCGGGGAAUUUGUCUUGACCGGCAGAAAGUGAGCAAUCUUUGUAAGUCGAUCAACAAUCACCCAGAUAGAGUCAUAUCCUUUUGCGGUCCUGGGCAAUCCCACAAUGAAGUCCAUGCUUAUGUCUUCCCAUUUCCAUGUUGGUAUUGAUAAUGACUGCAAUGGACCGGCAGUUUUCAUGUGUAUGGCCUUGACACGUCUACAAGUGUCACAUUUAGCCACAUAGCGUGCAAUUUCAAUCUUCAUCUUAGUCCACCAGUAAUGUUGCUUUAAGUCUUGAUACAUCUUAGUGCUUCCGGGAUGAAUAGAAUAGCGACUAAGAUGUGCUUCAUCCAGAAUUUGCUGGCGGAGCUCUUCGUUCUUUGGCACAACUAUGCGGUUUUUAAACCAUAUCACACCUUGAUCGUCUUCUUUGAAACACUUGGCUGUUCCAGCCCUUAUCUUUUCUCGUAUGUGCUUCAUACCCAGAUUAUCCUUUUGAGCAUCAAUUAUUUUUUGCAAAAUGAUUGACUCAAGCCUUAACUGAUUUAGAGUUCCUUGUUGAAUGAUCCCCAGGUUUAGCUUUUCCAUUUCUUGACAUAAAGUGUUCUCGAAGAUCUUUGCCAUAAGACAGUGGCAGGAAGUCUUACGACUCAAUGCAUCUGCCACCACAUUGGCCUUGCCUGGGUGAUAAUGGAUCUCUAGUUCAUAGUCUUUGAUGAGCUCAAGCCAUCGUCUUUGCCUCAUAUUUAACUCUGACUGGGUGAAGAUGUACUUCAAACUUUUAUGAUCUGUAUAUAUGUGACAGAUAUUUCCCAGCAGAUAGUGACGCCAGAUCUUUAGGGCAUGAACCACAGCAGCUAGCUCCAGAUCAUGAGUUGGAUAGUGCUCCUCAUGCCGGCGCAACUGCCUUGAAGCAUACGCAAUCACUCGGCCCUCUUGCAUCAGUACACAGCCGAGCCCACUGCCAGAUGCAUCACAAUAUACGUCAAAAGGUUUAGUGAUGUCCGGUUGAGCUAAUACCGGAGCAGUGGUCAAUAGUGUCUUCAGUUGCUCAAAGGCUUCAUUGCACUUAGAAGACCAAUUGAACUUAGUGUCAUUCUUCAAUAAACUUGUGAUUGGCUUCACAAGCUUAGAAAAAUCUGGUAUGAAUCUGCGAUAGUACCCAGCUAGUCCAAGAAAACUCCGGACUUGAUGAACAGUUGUUGGGGGUUUCCACUCCAGAAUAUCUUUGACCUUGCUAGGAUCUACCGCAAUUCCUUGAGCCGAUAACACGUGCCCCAAAAAUUGAAUUUCUUCCAGCCAGAACGCGCACUUGCUGAACUUGGCAUAAAGCUGAUGUUCCCUGAGGCGCGUCAAUACAAUCCGUAAAUGCUGAGCAUGGUCCUCUUCAUUCUUAGAAUAUAUCAAGAUAUCAUCGAUGAAGACUACCACGAAUUUGUCCAAUUCGGGCAUGAACACCGAGUUCAUUAAGUAAGUGAAAUGGGCAGGAGCAUUUGUGAGCCCGAAAGACAUCACCAAGUAUUCAAACAAUCCAUACCGCGUAGUGAAUGCGGUCUUCGGUAUAUCCUCGGGCCGAAUACGGAUUUGAUGAUAGCCCGACCUGAGAUCAAUUUUAGAAAAUACCCUCGCCCCAGUUAGUUGAUCAAAUAAGAUGUCGAUUCUUGGAAGAGGGUACUUAUUCUUGAUGGUGACCUCAUUCAGGGGCCGAUAGUCCACGCACAUGCGCAAGGUUUGAUCCUUCUUCUUCACAAAGAUGGCGGGACAACCCCACGGGGACGAGCUUGGCCGGAUAAAUCCCUUAUUCAGCAGGUCUUGUAAUUGAAUCUUCAAUUCUGCCAAUUCAUUAGGGGGCAUACGGUACGAUCUUCGGGAAAUCGGAGCCGUACCGGGCUUUAACUCAAUCACAAAUUCUACAUCUCUUUCAGGGGGCAGUCCAGGCAAAUCUUCCGGAAAUACAUCUGGAAACUCACAUACUACCGGAAUGUUCUUGAUCUCCGGUACAAUGGCUUCAUAGACUCUACCAGAAGCUUUGGCUGGAUUGGUUGCGGGGAGAGUCAAGAGAAUCUCUUCUUGGUUAUAACUCAACCUGACGGUUCUGAAUUCAGUGUUGAGGAUUGCCUUAUAUUGGGUUAGCCAAUUCAUUCCCAAAAUUACAUCUAUAUCCUGGCCCUUCAGAACAAUCAUGUUAGCAGGAAAGUUCCGUCCGGCCAUUGUUACUGGCACUCCAUAGGCCACUUCUUUAGUAUAAAUGUGUCCCCCAGGUGAAUGAAUUUUAAAUCCCUCCUUUGAUUCAUGGUAUGCAAUAUGAUGUUGUUCCACAAACUUCUUGCUAAUAAAUGUAUGUGAAGCACCAGAAUCAAAAAGAAUAAUUGCUGGGUGACUGGCCACGGGAAACGUACCCAUCAUCACCGGCUCUCCUUCCGGUGUAGUAGCCACUUGCGUAUAAUAUACUCGCCCCGUUUUCUUGGUAUUCUUGCCCGAAGUACUUCCCUUGCCUGGAGCUGAAUUUCCCGAUCCUUGCUGAUUAUUAGCCUGAUUUUGCCUUGGAUAGGGACAAUCUUUAAUAAAAUGCCCAGAUUUGCCACAGUUAAAACAUCCAGUUGAAGAACUUGGCAAGGCAGGGAAUCGAGUGCCUGGGGCACCCGGCUGUUUUGGGGUAGUGGAGGCAUUGUUGGGGCGGAUAAUAAUAGGCUGCUUGAAGGGAAAUGAAGGUGGACGAGGAAAAGGGCGAUUUUGGUUUGAGGGUCGAAUCACAAACCGUGGUUUCUUCGCCUGGCCCUGAUUAGGCCGCUCACCACCGAAUCCCUUAGUCUUUCCAGAAUUUGCAUAUUUGGCCUCCACAGAUAAGGCUGUGCUGACAGCCUUUCCAUAAGUAAGAUCAAUACAUGCAGCCAUUUUUCGCUGCAUCCGGUCGUUCAGUCCUCUCAUAAAACAAUUCUUCUUUUUCAAAUCCGUAUUUACCUGAUCAAUUGCGUACUGUGACAGGUGAUUGAACUUGUUGAGAUACUGAUUAACAGUAUCUCCCCCUUGCUUCAGUUUCAUAAACUCUUCUUGUUUCAUGUGCAGCACUCCCUCAGGAAUGUAAUGCUCGCGGAAUGCUGCUUUGAACUCGUUCCAUGUAAUUUGAUGAUUGUCCGGCUGGAUGGCCACCAAGUACUGGCAGGUCCUCGGAGUUGCUGUGCUGCAAACAGUGGCUUCUGUACUUCCGAACAGCGUAGAAGGCCAAACUUCUGCUCUAUGACCCGUAUCCAUUCGUCGGCCUCGAGCGGGUCUUCUGCUUUGACGAAGAGGGGCGGACGAGUCUCAGAGAAAUCCAGAUAAGUGGUCUCACGGGGACCUUGUUGGAAUCCUCUUCCUGCUUGUUGUUGAAGCUGUUGCUGACCCGCCAUCUCCCUCAGGAAGCGGGUGUUGUCGGCUGUGGCGUUCACCAAGGCAGCAAUUGCCUCGGCAAGCGUGGGUGGAACGGGAGGCGGAUUCGGGGUAACGUCCCGACCCCCGGAUGUUCCGGCUGCAUCCUGUGCACGAGUCCUGGUCGGCAUCUGAGGCAAAAACAUUUGAAUAAACAUAAUAUGCCCAAGGAAACCUUCCGUUUUACAUUACUAUGAAGAGUAAUGAUACAGACUCAAUAUUACAUAACAGGAUACAAUACCCAUUAUACAAAAGUUCAACCUAUUAACAGGAUACAAUACCCAUUAUACAACAAUACACCCUACAAUACCCUACAAUACCCUACAAUACACUACUCUACUUCUAUUACACCCUUAUUCCUGCUUGCCAUCAGUCUUGGCGGCUUCAUCGUCAGGUGUGGGAGUCCAGACAUCUACCAACCUCAAGGAAGGAGGAGGCUCAAAAAGGUCUAACUCCCCACCCAGCGCACGUCCCGCAACGUGAGAUGGUCCAGCUUCUGCCUCAGCAGGUGGUGCAGGCUCACUUGGGUGUAGUUGUGAGUAUAAUAUAUGGACUUCCUCGUGCAACGUGUUGCAGUAAACCUGCAGGUCAUCAACAGUCGAGCUAAGUUCUUUAACUCGGGCCUGAGCCCUUGCUUCCUUAGCACACAUUAGCAAACGAGACUGCACGGCCCAGUCAAGUGCUAAGUCUCGAUCAGCGAGUUGAUCCUGCAAGUGUCGGAUGUCCCUUCUCAGUUCAUUGAUUCUAUCACCUUCAGCGACCCAAGCAUCAGUCCUUUGUUGCAGUGCUGCCUGAAGUCGACUCACACGAGCUUCAAGGUCUCCGAUGGGGUCGUUACUUCCACUGCUGCUACUUUCAUGUCGGAGAGCCAAUCGAUGCCGAGGCACCCCAAUUGGUCCCGUAGACUUGCGUGCCGUUAGCCUGGUACGUGGCGGCAUCUUUUCUAAGGGGGAAAAUGUUAUUAGUAAGAUUCUUAGCAUGAUGCAUGUAUAAUUACAGAAUCAACCUUAGUCGAUUCAACCUUCUAUAUGUUGCACUCUUCCUAUCUGGUCUUUAAGAUAGACUCUUCAGAAUACUUAGGUAAGAGGAGAAAAGAAUUUUUAGGUAAGACUCUUAAAAAUCCUUUUGAAGAUGCUUCAUAAUAUCUGCCAAGAAGGGCUACGCUCCGAUACCAGCUGUGACGGAACCUCCCAAGUAAUUAGGCCCACCUACAGUUGUCCUUGUCCAACGGACAUCAGACAACCCUGUAGGUGCCCCUGAACUACUUGACAAGUUCGGUAUCUUUCCUUACCUCACCAGGAACGUCUCACCCAUCUUGUAGAUAUUACAGAACAUCGGAGAUGAAGAAAUGCGGAAGCGAAUUACAUAAUCUUACAUUUAUUUUAAAAGCAAGUUUGAGUUAGGUUAUUAUAGACCAGUCUAAAAGUGAGUGCAUAGAGGUAAUAUAAUACAAACCAGGGAGGCACAAACUCCUCCCGAGAAGCUAAAAGCAAAAGAUUCUUAAGUGGAGGACCGAGUCCUCCCGCACUUCAGUCUUGAUUUUCUUCUUUUGGAACCACCUUGGCACAGAAGCAGCAAAAGUCUGCUACUUCCUCACCUAAAAACAACGAAGGGAUAAACCCUGAGUAUGGAAUACUCAGCAAGUCUUACCCGACUAAAGAAAAGACUUUCAAGGGUAUGCUGGUUAUGUGGGAGUCAAGGUAAGGCUUUUCAAUAUUCAAAGACUCUGUUUUGCAGAAAUGCUUACUAAAGUGGAUCCUUAAAAAUCCAGUUUUAAUUUGUCAAGUUAAGUAAAAUUACCUGUACUAGAGUUCUUUCUACCCUAGUUCAAUCACUGGUCCUGCACUAGCCAAUUUCUUAACAAGAACCCAUCAUCUUUAGUGGAAUGCUACGUGUAAGUCAGUGGCCAAGUCUCCAUAACCGCGGAGGUACGGCGAUCCGAAUCGAUUAUACUCAGCUGAGGAUCUCCGAUCACAUGACAUAUGUAGCACUUAACCCUUGCAUAUGUCAACCCGCCACCGGGGUUCUUAAGACCGGAUCAGGUUCACGCAAACCGAGAGCACAGAUACACCACCGUCCAGCCUCUUGCCACGGAGGGUACACGCUACUCUCGCCACCGCUCCACUCCCAUUUCGUGGUAUCUUAUUCCGGCCUUAGUCUGCCCGAGGCAAGGCUUACCCAUGACGAGGCAUGUGACCAGUUAAAGGGUCCUCGGUCAGCAGGCCUACAUCGAGACGGUCCUUAAUUGACUCAGACGGAGACACUACACCGAGACUCUCUUCUCGUGCAAGUCACCCGCCCGGUCUCAGCUUAAUCUUUUUAACCCAAAACUUGGUACCUGACAGAGGUACAUCUUUUCCGAUGUUGGACCCAUCAUGGCCAUGAUGGAUCCACCAUCAAGUUUUAUUUUUGAAAACAUCCCACCCACUUUUGCCACAUCAUAUUUGGUAAAAACAAAACCUUUUGUUUUUCUAAAGCAAAGCUAAGCAAAGUAAAACCUUUUGUAAAAACAGGAUUUCAAGGGGGGGUAAUCAAGAUCAAGGAAGGUAAUGCAGGAAUUGUUUAACAAUCAACUCCUAUAACUUAAUGCAGCAAGCAAGUGAGAAAAAUUUUAAAACAUCAAGGGAGGUGGCAAAUGCACCGGGGCUUGCCUUCGUUUACAGGUGAUUCAGGCUCGGAUCCACAAAUGUCGAAGUAGAAACUAUUCCCGGCCUGAGUGUCCAAAGGUGGUUGCACUUGCUCUUCAGUUACUUCUAUCUCUUCUUCUCGUUCUAAUCAUAACCAUACGUAUGUAUAAGAAUGGAUGCCAUGGGAUGCUCAUGAGGAUGCAAAGACAACAUAAACUUAUUAUUUAUGUCUUGAAUACAACUUGCCUUCACGGAGUUCCGGGAACUUAGGGUUUCCGGAGUCGGCAAAGGAGUUCAUAGGGCAGGGGGGUGUUUUGGGGUUUGGUGAUCAAACAAGGUCCAAAUCAAUUCAAACUCUACCCAAGGCUUCUAAAUAUUGAAUAACAUUCAUAUAAAAAUUUUGGGCAUUUUAGGACCUAUCAAUUAUUUUCUAAAAAUCUAUAAUCAAGACUUUUAACUACUUUAAAUACCCUAAAAUUUCUUACUUCCACUAAAAAUCACCAACUUAUUUUUGUUAAAUACUAUAGAAAAUAACAAACCUAGGAAAAUUAGUUUCACAAUUUUAGCACUUUUCUACAUUUUUCUACACAUUUCUAAAGUUUUCCUGAAAAAGAAAAAGGAAAAGGGAUAAACAGAACUGGGCCGAUUCUGGCCCAGACGGCCCAAGCCUCAGAGAAAACGGGGCGCGCCCGCACCCGCGAGGGAGACUUUGCGCAGAGGCCCUCGACGUUUUGACUAAACCAGAACAGGGUCGUUCACUGUUUUCGCAAGUCACUGACAAAUCACAGAAAGACCCUUCCUCUUCUAUUUCUUUACCCGACACGCCCUCGACGACGGCAGCGCACGGAGGAACUCCGGCGAGCCACUGCACCGGCCGAUUGAGGUGAUGACCGGCGCACCCGAGCGGCAGACACCAAAUCCAAGCUACCCCGAGUAAUUCCCCUAAGUUAAUUGCACAAUUGGUGCCCUAUUCUAGCCUGCCCACGAGAACCGCGAAGACCAUGAUCGUUUGAUCGUGUUCCCGACGAAUGGGGGUCUCUUAGUUCAAAUUGGAGGCUCAGUAAGCAUCACAGGGUGACAAGAGUGCUCAAACAAGGGAGGGUGAGGGCUGAACGGACCUAGAAAGGGCUGACCGCGGUGAGCAGUUUCUUGCGGUGGCAGAAACUUGAUUUGGGGAGAACUCCAAAUUCGCGGAUUCCAGUGAAUGACUGUGGCUGAUUCGUGGUGGCUGGACAGCUUACUAGCCUACGGAGUUCGGGGAGGGGUCAAUUUAUAGCGAGGGUAAGCGGCGGUGGCGAAUUUGACCGAGCAGUGCUGGCGGCCGGAGGUGAAGAAGAACCUGGGUGCGGUGAAUUCGUGGCAAAUGGCGUGGCGAGGUCCCCGUCGACGAUGGGAUGGCUUAGAGGAGUCACGACGGCACGGUGUAAAGACAGAGCCACGCGGCGGACGCCGGUAAUGGCUCAACGGCGGUGAAAUCCUUAUCCGAGGGAUCGGUGAGCAAGGGGGAAUGGACUACGGCGGGCCGAGGUGGCAUCCAGCUCACCGGCGGCAAAGAUUUUUACCGAGCGGAACUUAUCCGAUGGCCACGACGCACGAAUCUCGGCGACCGGCAAUCAACGACGACGGCCACCGGCGACGAGCACGGGAGGGGAUCUUUUUCAGUUUAACCGUACUGUACCAUGGCGCAUUCCAUUCAACAGCCUGUCAGCCGAACUUGGAGCAUCAUUUUCUCUUAAUUUCUAAUGUCAACAUAUGUCGAGCUCUGCAGCAAAAGUGUAGAGCAAUAAGCCCUCUACAACUUUGUAAUAUGAUGAUGCCACAAAAACUCAUUGGAUCAUGCUUGAAUUUAAACUUGAAGUUGAUGGCAUCAAUCUGUCAGUCUGAUUUUCAGACUUAUCCAACCUGACAGCCUGACUUUAGGCUUACUUAUCUCUGGAUUUUUCUUAACAAGUGAGCUUACCACCUUAAGCAAAGUUGUUCACCUAAGAUAGAUCUACAUAGUUGAUGUGGUGACCUAGGGCAAAAACCCUAUGCUUUACAAGUUACAAAGCCCUAAAGUGGAGCCUUUAACACUGAUUUUCAGACUUAGUGUAGAACUCAAAUGAGGUCCAUUUUGCACUUAAGUCCAAAUCUCAGGGUUUGGCUUGUAAUUUCACAUAUUUGUGAACCAAAUGACUUUAUAUGUCAAAACAUAGUAGUUUUUACACUUUAGUCCAAAGGUUCAUCAUUUUUGCACAUAAGCCCCUAGGGUUUGGUGUUAGGGUUUUCCAGGGUUCCAAUUAGGGUUUCUGGUAUCUCAGGGGUAUAAAAGUGAUUCAAGCUUAUUCUUAGGGUCAUUUUAUGACUUUUACCCUAAAGUCUUUUGGUUUUCUUAACUUGGGUUAAGUUUUACCCCUUUAACCACUAUUUAGGGUUAAGUCCAUUACCCAGGGUUCUAUUUGCAAAACACUUAAAACAAUACAACUUGUUUGAAAUUUUUGCCUAGUGAAUGCACUCUAGGUGUGUCAAACAUAUGCAAUGCCAAUGCUCAUGAUGCCAUGCUCAAGUUUUAGUUAUAGUAACACCAGGGGUGUUACAGGUCGUGCCCGACGGAAUGCUUGAAGUCCCGGCAGUUCCGAAGAGUGUGGCGCAUGUCCUUGUGGUACGGACACUAGGCGUCGAGGAUGUCGUCCAGCGUGCGCUCGCCUCCAUGAGGUCCUCCCCGGGCGCGAGAGGCUGGUGGUCCGGCGGCAUGUACUUCUUCGCGAGGUCUCUUCUCCCAGCGUUUGUCGGGCUGCUGGUUCGCGUCGCGUCGUGGUGCUACCGGUGCGGGCUUCGCUCCUCCGAUGAGGUCCUGGGCUUGCUCGUCGGCGGUGAUGUAGAGGUCGGCUUCCCGAAAUAGCUCCUCAGAGGUAGUCGGCGCCUUCUGUAAUAUGGCUCGGAUGAAAGCCGAGUCGUUGGAUCCUCUGUAGAAGUCCUCGAUCACGGUCGCCUCCGUGACCUUGGGGAUACGAUUUCUCAUGGUCUGGAACCUUUUAAGGUACGACCGGAGAGUUUCGUCCCCCCGGCGCUUGAUGGAUUUGAGGUCCCACGGUUGCGCCGGUUUGUCGGAGAGGGACUAGAAGUUGGCGGUGAAGCGUCGACUGAAGUCGCCCCAGUCGUCGAUGCAGUGUCGGGGUAGAUGUCGCAGCCAUUGCAGCGCGUCUUGCCCGAGGACAAUGGGUAAGUAUGCGGUCAUCACGUCUUCGGACGCCCCGGCAGCUCGAGCAGCGGUGGUGUAGACGGCUAGCCAGCCCCCUGGAUCCUGCUUAUGUUCAUAUUUGUCAACAUUGGAUACCUUGAAGUUAGGAGGCCAUUGGAUGGCCCUAAGGCGUGGAGUAAGAGCAGACACUCCAUACGUGUCCUCCUGUCGUCGUGGAUGAUGUCUGUCCCGAGGAGGGGAGUAGUUGUUGUGGUUCCUCGACCGUCCCCGGGUGGUACCGCCAGUCGAGGCCGUUGCCGACUCAGUUCUAGUGGCCUGGCUCCGAGCUGGGAUGCCAUGAUCCCUAUCGUACUCCUCCCGGCGGCGGAUCUCGUUCUCGUGCCGUCGUUCACGCGAAGCAUUGAUGGAGCUUCGCGCGUCUCGGCGACUGUUGAUGGCAUGUCGUAGAUCGUUCGGCGGGUGAGCAAGCGGUAGAAGAUGGUUGGCUGCCUGGGUGAACAGUCAUCGGUAGCCCUCGGCGUCGGGAGUCCGAGGGAGUCCAUCAGCUAUCCGAGCUAAUACUCCUCCAACUUCGCUCGGCGUGUUCAUGGCUCGGGCGAAGUCGGGAUUCAGGUUGCGCCUAAAGAAUGGAUUCUCCCGGCGUUGCCUUGCAUCUUGCUCGGUUUGUUCCUGAGCCCGGCGGCGAUCACGUCGUCGAGAGUUCCUUCGUUCUCUGAAGACUCGUUCCUCUGGAGUUUCUCCUAUCUCCGAGACCUCGUCCCGCGAGACAGGUUGCUCCGGAUCCCGUUCUCCGGCCGCGUGAUGUCGUCGAACGUUCCUGCGCCGGUUUCUCUGUCGGCGGGAUUCUCGUUGAGGUGGUUCUUCUCCGGGUGCGGUUGGCUCGUCGUCGGAGACGGGAGGCGACUCCACUCUCCCGAUGAAGAGGACGUCGGGAUAGAAUGGUGCUGCUGUCGUGGCGACCUUCUUUCCGUUCUCCUUUGAGGGCGGAGGAACGGAAAGAACAAUUUGCUUCCCCUUGGUCUCCUUCUUCCUCGCGAUCUGUGUCCAUUCUUUCGUCGGGGAAGUAGACAAUGGAGUCCUCCGGGUCAGCGGGCUCUCGGCCCCUGACUUUCUGAAGGCGAUUUUUUCCCGGAGAACUUCUCCGAUAUCUUCGGAGUUUGUUGGAGGAGACUUCUUUUCCGGCGGAUCUGCAAUGCGGUGUAGAGUUCCCUCUUCAUCUGCUACGGAUGAGAUUGUUCCGAAGCAGAAUACGGAUCCGGGACGGAGGGUGAUCUUGCUGCGGAAGGUGACGGCCAUUGAGCUAGCUUGGAUCGUCGACACACCCCCUACCUGGCGCGCCAGCUGUCGGUGUUUUGGGUCCGACCGCACACCCGGGGUUGCCCUCAAGGUGUUUUUAGGAGUAGGACGGCGUCGACGACUGUAGCAAAAUGGUUCGUGCCAGAUGCACGAGGGACAGUGGACAAUGUUUACAGGUUCGGGCCGCUUAGAGACGCGUAAUACCCUACGUCCUAGUGAGUAUGCUUGGUGGAUGAGGUUACAAGGUAGCUCUCUGAAUUGAGAGUGCAGAGAGUUGAGGUGGGUGGCUGAGUAAUAGGGUCGAUCGUUCUGAAGGGGUGCCCCCUAGGCCUUAUAUACUCGACCGUGGGGCGAUACACGUGGAUAUGAUAACAAUGUGUAGCUAAAAGAUAGUGAACUGUUUUAGUUUAUCUCCCUAUAGUUCUGUCGACCUAUCCUCGCAUGGCUCCAUUGCAUGGGGGCUCCAGCGCGGGAAAGUCGGAUCUCUAUUGUGGUCGCUCGCUCGACGUUGUGGGCCGUCCGGGCUUGCACUAAUCCGGCCUCAUGUCGAUCUGCUUUGCUGAUUGUCUCUCCCCAGGCCCACGAAAGAAUGACCUUACGAUUUAUUGGGCCCUUGGGACUUUCGUGAGGUCUUUUACUUCUUCUAGUGGACCCGGGGGAUAUCUGUCCCCCACACUCCUGUUUAUGAUAUUAAUGUUCCAAAUGGUAACUUUACUUUAUUGUUGUUAACCCGAUGGUUAAACAAGAUUAUUGCAUAUUAAUUGGAACAUGGAGUGACCACCCGGGAAAACAGUGCUACCAUGAGAACUAUCAUGGCUCUGGUCUUGGCUAAAUAACUAGGGAAGUCUUAUGUUGGGUGCUGGUCGUGGUCGACCGAAACGGGGGCAUCUGGCAAGCACUUAUAGUUCCGGCUCAGGCAGAUUGGAUACGGGCAUAGUUCCCAAAGCUUUACCCUGUAGUCUGGACUAUAAGUUGGUUACGGUAGGUGUGCCUUAUGCAGUUUGACCAUUUCCAGCAUUUGCGUAAUGAGGACUCUAGGGAGAAGCCUCGUAGUGAGACCCUGGCCAUUCACCUCGGAAGUGAAUAGGGUCUAGCUAACCCGGGCUAGAAGGGAAUCACGACUCAUGGGUAAAGAUGCGCCACCUCUGCAGAGUGUAAAACUGAUAUAUCAGCCGUGCUCACGGUUAAGAGCAGCCUGGACUCCUCACAUGAUAAUUGAACUUGAAGAUGGAAAUAAAUCGAGAUCCGAUGAUCUGCCAAUGGUUUGCUUAAGUAGUUUCACUUAAGUGUUUUUGAUAUACUCUUAUACCUUUGUUUAAUGGGAAUACUUGGGAUUCACACUUAUUAGUAAGACAGUUGUUGUUAAUAAAAUGUUGACCAACUAAAAUGCUUACUGCUCAACCUUAGCCUCACCUUGUUACCUGGCAUUAGUUUUUCCCCCACUUGCUGAGCCCCGACCAUAAGUGAGCUCACCCUUGCUUAAUUUUGAUCAGAAGUUGCAGAUGAAGAUAUGAUGCUGAGCCCCAUGGAUGCUAGUCUAGUGAUACCCCCGGUCAUCUUCCUGUGGAUGGAUGUCCAUGUCUCGCUGUACUUUGAUGAAUAAAGGUUAAGACAUUAUGUCUGUUCGAAGUGUAAUAUGUUAAUAUAAUCAUUAUUUACGCUUUUAUGCAUUGUCCUUUUGAUAUAUUACACUUGUGACGUCAACAUAUGUGUGGAAAUAGAUCCUGGCACACAUAUGCGAUGCACCCGGCUCUGCCCUUAGAAACGAGUGUGACAGAAGUGGUAUCAGAGCAAUGUGACUGUAGGUCCCUAGAUUAGUUAGAAAUGGAAAGCCCAGUCAGUCUUUCAAAGCUUGAUAUAUUUUCCUCCAUAAAAACUUACUUUAUAUCAAAACUCGUCUCUUUUAUUUUCAACUCUUCUUGUCCGAUUCUUCGUCUAUCAGAAGACUCUACUCAGAAGCAUUACAAGAUGAUCAAGCUAGGAUUGCGGAACUUGAAGCGAAGUUUGCCAGAAGAAACCCUUUCGAAGCUAUCGAUGAUGCCCUAUUCUCUGUCUUAUCCCCACUUCGCAAGAAGUUUUGCUAUGGAUCUUUUGGAUCUAUUACUAGACUUCUUGGUUAGGUUGAUAGGAUAGUUCUUUAGUAUUAAGAUUUUCGACUAGAUCGGUAAUGGCGAUAUUAUAUUAUAAGUGGUUUUCUAAUCCCUAAUAUUGCUAUAUAACCCUUGACUUCUUAUACUUUUGUUUUAUUGCCAUUGUAUUGCCAUCCUUGCGCAAUAUCUACCUUGAUAUAUAUUAAACUUUUGCAUCUCUACUUUUCUCCUUGAUAAUGAUUUCUCCCUAUUAAAUUCUUACACUUUUGCUUUCGUGCCAUUGUAUUGCCCCCUUUGUGCAAUACUUACCUUGUUAUAUAUUAAACCUUUGCCUCUCUACUUUUCCCCUUGAUAAUGCUUUCUCCCUAACUCACUUUAUCUCCUUGGUUGUAUAAUUUAUCCUCACUUUAACAGUUCAUGGUUAUCUUAUUUCACUCUUGGCCACCAACAAAUAUGUCUUGUCUAACUCCUUGCUAUUUCUUACCUGACUCCUUGACUUUAUAAUAUCUUUCUUAUUCCAAACCUUGUCUCACCUUUUGUUUUGGUUGAAUGAGUAGAAUUGGAUUGUGUUGUGCUGGUAUGCUUGAAUUCAUUGUCCUUUGUGUUCAUGUUUGAUUUGCUUCUUUGAAAUGAUCGUUGGUGUAUUGUGUGACUUUUGUCCACAAUGACAUCAAUUAGCUAGGAAAAACCUUAGAUAGAUGAGUUUUCUCUGCUCUCUAUAAUCUGUCUUUACUCAACCCUUUCGUCCCUUCCAUUCUUCCAUACCCAUACAGAUGUCAGACCUUGGAAUGUCAACUACAAGUGAUGUCACUAAGUGCAAAGAAUGUGGUGUGUUGGCAAGUCAAAACAACACUAUAAAUAAAACAGCUGAUGAACAGACAUUCAAGACCCAAAAGGAUGCACCACCAAACCAACAGACAAGUGACCUUGGAACAUGUUGUUGUGAGUACUAUGGAAUUCCUUGUCGCCAGAUCAGUACAAACGAAAGUGAAACUACAAAACAGAAGAACUGGAUUUUAUUUUCUGGCAUAAACAGACAAAUGUCUCCCCAAGAACAUCUAAUAGCAGAUUCUCUCGUACCUAAUGCACUAUCAGAUGAUGAAUUGCAAAGUAUUCCAAAAAGGAAACAUCAUAAGGAUGCACAACCCCAAGAAGAAUCACAAGAGUGUUACAUUGAUGGAUGGACUAUUACUUGCACACAGUUUCAGCCUCGUCGUCACAUCAGCUCCAAGAAACAAAAAGGGAAACAUGGAAAAAGUCAAGAAAUAACUUCAAGAAAAGUUUGCUAUCAAUGUGGACGUGAAGGUCAUUACUUCCGUAACUGUCAUGAGAAGAGUUCACUACAGAUCAUCUCCGAGAUAAAGCUAUCUCAGUCUUCAGACAUGGAAUAUGAACAAAAAUGCACAGAAACUUCUACCAACACAGUAAAGACAACUCCACCAUGUAACUUAUCAAGUCAUGCUUGCUUUGGCUGUGGUAAUACCGACCAUCUUGUUAAUGGUUGUCCUAAGAAGGAUGUGGAGAUCAAUAAGGUCCAAAAGAAAAGACAACACCCUCAAACCCAUGCAUCAACAAAGAAUAAACAACGGAAAGAGACCACAGGAAAGAUAAGUUAUGCAGUGACAGAACCAUUCAAUAUGAUGAUGCAGUAAUUUUUGGAACACUAGUCAUUCACUCAACCGUCGCCACCGUGUUGUAUGAUCCUCGUACAACACAUUCUUUUAUCAGUGCCCAGUUUGCAACAAAGUAUGGUAUCUUUAAGUGUCCCUUGAGAUCGAGCAAGACCAUCAGUGCACCCGAAGGAAAAAUGUUAGUAAACUACAUAUGUCCAAAUGUAAGUGUUAAAAUUAAUGGGAUAGAUUUUCCAGCUGAUCUCCUAGUGAUAGAAUCAAUGUGAAAGGAUGUGAUUCUUGGAAAGAAUUGGUUACGAAGAACUAAAGCAGUAAUCCAACAUACUGAGAGAACCAUAUGUUUGGAAACUCCAUCUGGAGAAACAAUAGUAGUUGAAGACAACCGACCUCCAGCUCAGAUUGGUACAUCUAUCAAGGACGAAUAAUAUAUCAUUUAGCUAGAAGGAGUAUGUCUCACGAAAAAAUGUCAAGUUGUUGCCCCUUUCAAGAUUUGUAAUCGUGCUAAGUGAUAUAUGAAUAAAUUUGGAGAAUCUUUCGCACCUAUUGUGUUUUGCCUCUUUAUAAAGAAAAUAAAGUGUGGUGUCAUCUGCUAUAUGCAAACAAUGUGAUACUCUAGUUGGCCUAAAGUCCCGCUCAAGUCUUUCUCUCAAAUUGUGCUCAAAGAAAUACUCUUGGAUCAGAAAGAUUAUUUGGAUAUCAUGCUCUGUAAUUUAUAAGGUUCAAAAGAUCUUUGUUAAGAAAUAUAGCACCUGUAAUCUCUCAAAGUAUGAUGAAGCUAGUAGAAAUCUGAAACCAUCCUUGUUCCUUAACUAAUCUUAUAUUGGAAAUCAAAAUUUUGCUCUUUAUCUUAAUGUCAUACAAGCCUCUUAUGCAGUCUGUCUCACUAACUCUUUUACCCUCUGACUAGAUGAUGAACCCCAAUGGAAAUGAAGUAAACGAUGCCAACAACAAUAUUUCUACCUUAAAGACUAUGAACGAGAAAAAUGAGUCACAGAGAUAUUCGAUGAAUGGAAUGAAGAACAACAAAAGGAAUAGAAAAAUGUUUGGAUACAUGAUUAGUUCACCUCAACCACAAGCAAAAGCCACGAAACACAUGGAUACCCAAACAGAAGAAUCAAGUCAGGCUCAGCUAUAUGAGAUACAGACACCCAGUCAACCCUCACCCCCUGUUGGUCAAGCAAAGUUGACUCGCAAAGAACUCAAAGCAAGAGGUGCUUGCUACUACUGCAAAAAUGAAGGACAUAUUAUUCGCGAAUGCCCCAAGAAGCGUCUAGACCGACUAGAGAAGAAAGCUGCCAAGCAUGACCUAAGCAAUAAUUCAGAAGACCCACCAUUUUAUAAGUACGAUGAUGAAGGUCACUUGAUUAGUAUACAUUGCGGAGCAAAGAAGUAAGGAAGUUCCUUAAUGUUAGAAGAGUUCAAUAUGAACUAAAACCUACAAAUAACCAUGUAUCUCCUUUGCUUUCGUGCUAGCCUUCCUUAAUCUCGAGGACGAGAUUCUUUUAAGAGGGGUAGAUUUUGUAACACCUCAAAUCCAAAAGGUGAAACCAAUUUAGGUUUAGUAUAAAUUCAUUAGAGAGGAGAUAGUUAUUUUCAAAGUUUAGUUUUAAUUCAAGUGUAUGAAUGCAUUCGUAUUCGGAUCAUGACUUUUGUUUCUUAAUUGAUUGCAAAGUUUUAUUUCUGUCUUCAAUCUGUUUUUUUUUUGCGAAACUCAACUCAUUUAAAUAAGUAGGACUUAUCUAUUUUUUAUUAUUAUACAUUUUAUUAUCUUUGGUUUAUUAUAAUUUUUCAAAAUAUUUAAAUAUACAUAUACAUGUAUAUUUAUAUACAUAUAAAAAAUAAAAGUAAAAGGAAAAAAAACCUCAUGCACGUCCUCACAGACGUUUGGCCCACCUCAACAUACCCCGCAUGCAGGCUUCUCCUGUCUUCGCAUCCAUGCCCCUCCCUCACAGCAGCUGCAAGCGGGCUCCACCUGUUCCCUAUCCCUCUUCCUCCAUUUGCUUCUUUGUUCACGAGCGCAGAAACACUGAGCCGCCACGGAGUUCUUUCCAAAGAUUAGCAGCCAUUUGCUGGUCCUUCGUCUACCCACACCUCGUCGCCUCCUUGCUGACUGAUGUGGAGCAGCUGUCGCGGUCCAUUCCUCUUCUCUCCCUACUGUCGCGACCUUUCCUCUUCCCACUCCCGUGCGGCAAUUUCCUCUCGUACAGGUAACAGUCGCCAUUGAUGGCGAUUUCGGUUCUUGAUUUUUGACAAAUUAAACUUAGCGCAUCAAUUAGCCAUCAAGGAGCACUAAUUCGUCUUUAUAUUCUUCAAUUCUUCUCCCUAUAAAAGCUACCCAUUGAGCUCCUUGUUUUACCUGCUGCUUCACAUACGCCCUGCCUCCUGCUCGUAGAGCGCCGUGCCAUCACUCGCCUCUUCGCGUUGCUGUGCACCACGCCGAAGACUGCUUCUCGUGCAUAGUGUGACGCCGUCACCGGAGCUCGUGCCGUCGAGCCCCAGCUCGCGCCGUGCCUGCUCGCCGUCGUGAAGCUCAUCGCCGGAACGUUCGCAUUCGUACGCCGUUCGCCAUCCGUGGAGCCUCGCCGGAUUUACGCCGUCCGUCGUCGAUGCGAUCGCGCAGCACACCAACUGGACCAUCCGCGCCCAACACCGUGCCUCGCCUCACCGCGAUCGAAUCCCUCCAUCCACCACAAGGUUGAAAACAACCCCAAAUAUUGAUUUAUGUUUCGAAACAUGUUUUGAAUCAAUUUAUGAAUUAUUGUUUUUAUAUUGAGAUGAUGCGAUUUGGCGAUUCACAUGUAUGACUUUAGAGAUUCAAUAUAUACGUGUAACCAAAAUCGAACCCCGCGACAACGCUUUGAAUAUGCGUAAGAUUUUAUAAUUCUAAAAAAGAACACGGUCACUAUUCACUACUUCUGUGGUUUCCAUACUAGAAAUGUUUAUUUCACUUUUGUGUGUGGAACGAUAAUUGUUAGUAGUAGUUUAAGUAUAAACUUAUUUGCAUGAAGAAAUUGAUAGUUAUGUUGAUAAAUAUAGGUUUCUUACUAAGAAUUAGAAAAUUUGUUUCUAACGGUAAAAUGACCCAUUUUAUAGACAUCAUGAUUUUGAUUUAAUAAGAUUUAUUAUAGAUGUUUAAGUAUAGCCAUACUAAAUAGUAAUAUGUCAUAUAACUUUUCUAAUAAUAAUAUAAUGGCUUAAUUAAGUACUCACAUCGUCAUAACUAAAACAAUAGUUAAUAACAUACUAAUGAAUAUAAUUUUCAUUUUAAAUAUCUAGAUCAUAUGUUUCUAAACUAAAGGUAAAGAUAAAUAAUAGAGUAAUUAUGUCCUCUCAUAAUCUAGUUAAUUAGAUUUAUAUUACAAAUUGUUCACAACUAGUUAUAUAUGCUUAGUUAAUCAUUCAAUCAAACUUAGUCCAUAGUAUUUAUAUAUAUCACUUAGUUUUCCUAAAGAAUAAACUAAUGAAAAUAGUGUCCAUGAUCUUUAAUAAUAAUUAAAAUGUUAGUUUAUAUAUUGUUUUAUAUAUAGCUUUCUUAAUAAGGAGUAUAGGACAUGUACUUUCUAAUGAAACUAAAAGAUAGUGGCUUAUUCAUUGUCUUUUACAUAAAAGUUAAUUUAAGGCAUAUACCAUAACUUUCCAUAAAUAGGUGUUUAAUAAUAAUAAUGACCUUUUCACAUAAAACCUAUUUAGACUUAUAUCUUAAUUUAUCAUAAGUGAUAGGUUUAACAAUGAAUUAUAUGUUCCAUAAUGCUUCAUAAAUUAACAAUGUAUUUCAUAACGCAUUAAUCCUAGAUAUAUAACUUAUAUCUUUUCUAAAAAAAGGUUAAAAAGGUUUAAUAUCGUUAUAACGUGUUUAUCGUGUUAUAAACCCUUAAUCUAGACGUAUCGCGUAUGACGUUUUAUAAAAGAUUAAAUUAGUAAACCUAAUAUUUGUAUAGUUUAAUUAAGACAUUUUAAGCUCAUGUCUUGUUUUAUAAAGUAUAGAUCAUACAUUUUUGAAAAGAAUACCCUCGUAUUAUAACCAUUACUUGCGACGUUUUAGAAAAACGAAUGCUCUUUUCGUUAGGCUUUCUUUUAGCUUUACGUAUGGUGAAUGUUGUAUGUUAUUGAGUGGUGUUUGUUCUUCUUGUUUGUUUGUGUGAUAUUCAGUGGUUGAUCUAGUAGUUGAGAAUCAAGAUAUAUCCGUGGAAGAACCUCGAAUUUUCAAUAAGCAAGGCAAGUGGACUUCUCCCUCUGCAUACUCUGUUUGAUCCCAAACAAUACAUUAAUAAAGUUUAUUCUUCGAUGAAUAUAUGCAUAAUUUGACGGGUUACCUAUUUAGAUAACCUUUCCAACCUUACUCCUUGUUUAACCUGGGAUUAUGAUCUAAUCAAGUAGCUUUGCUAUUGCUACAACCUAACUUUAUGCAGUCACUCCUGUUUAUGAUAUUAAUGUUCCAAAUGGUAACUUUACUUUAUUGUUGUUAACCCGAUGGUUAAACAAGAUUAUUGCAUAUUAAUUGGAACAUGGAGUGACCACCCGGGAAAACAGUGCUACCAUGAGAACUAUCAUGGCUCUAGUCUUGGCUAAAUAACUAGGGAAGUCUUAUGUUGGGUACUGGUCGUGGUCGACCGGAACGGGGGCAUCUGGCAAGCGCUUAUAGUUCCGGCUCAGGCAGAUUGGAUACGGGCAUAGUUCCCAAAGCUUUACCCUGUAGUAUGGACUAUAAGUUGGUUACGGUAGGUGUGCCUUAUGCAGUUUGACCAUUUUCAGCAUUUGCGUAAUGAGGACUCUAGGGAGAAGCCUCGUAGUGAGACCCUGACCAUUCACCUCGGAAGUGAAUACGGGUCUAGCUAACCCAGGCUAGAAGGGAAUCGCGACUCAUGGGUAAAGAUGCGCCACCUCUGCAGAGUGUAAAACUGAUAUAUCAGCCGUGCUCACGGUUAAGAGCAGCCUGGACUCCUCACAUGAUAAUUGAACUUGAAGAUGGAAAUAAAUCGAGAUCCGAUGAUCUGUCAAUGGUUUGCUUAAGUGGUUUCACUUAAGUGUUUUUGAUAUACUCUUAUACCUUUGUUUAAUGGGAAUACUUGGGAUUCACACUUAUUAGUAAGACAGUUGUUGUUAAUAAAAUGUUGACCAACUAAAAUGCUUACUGCUCAACCUUAGCCUCACCUUGUUACUUGGCAUUAGUUUUUCCCCCACUUGCUGAGCCCCGACCAUAAGUGAGCUCACCCUUGCUUAAUUUUGAUCAGAAGUUGCAGAUGAAGAUAUGAUGCUGAGCCCCAUGGAUGCUAGUCUAGUGAUACCCCCGGUCAUCUUCCUGUGGAUGGAUGUCCAUGUCUCGGUGUACUUUGAUGAAUAAAGGUUAAGACAUUAUGUAUGUUCGAAGUAUAAUAUGUUAAUAUAAUCGUUAUUUACGCUUUUAUGCAUUGUCCUUUUGAUAUAUUACACUUGUGACGUCAACAUAUGUGUGCAAAUAGAUCCUAGCACACAUAUACGAUGCACCCGGCUCUGCCCUUAGAAACAGGUGUGACAGAGAGCCACAAGCGUGCACGCUCGCUCGCCUCGCCUCGCCUGGCCGGGGCCAGGGCGGGGCGGGGCUGGGCAAAGGGCGCGGGCGCGGGCGCACGACAUGUGCGUGAAUGGUCCGCCGAAAUCCGGCACCUCACCAUGCAGGGGCACAACUUCCUUUUGCCGUUUUAAUUUUUUGGUUACUUGGCUGUUAAGUUCAGAAUCCUAACCGAUCGCUAUAAAAUCUAAACUGAUCGCGAGAUUUUCGCGGGCGGAUCAGAUCGAAGAUAGCUAUCUGUCCGCGGACUCGGUCCUAUAAAAGGCGCCUGGCAGUCAGCAUCCAAAUCAUCCCAGUUUUCGCUUUCGCCUCUCUUCACAUCUGAGCCGCCUUCAGUUCUCUUCAUCCCGAUCGUCGACGUGGAUUUGCGAUCGGGAGAGCAGGUCUCCGGAACCCUUCGCCUUCGAGAUCCUGUACCGGGAGAGGGCGAAUAAGGUUUUUGGGAAGCGUCCUCACGCGACUGCUCGCUGAUUCCGCUGAUCAUCAACCCCGCUGCUUCGACGUCGUCGACCCUGCUAAUUCUGGCCCGCGCCAUCUAUUAGUAUAUCUGAUCAGUACGUAUCAUCUGAUUUGACUUUUUAUUUCAGUUCUUCUGAUUUGGUCAUGAUUUAUAUUCGGAAUUUAAUCUGGAAAUUGUCUAAUUAUUCAACACAUAGAAGGUAACGAUGAUCCACCAUCGUCUGUUUUCCUUUCUGUACAUAACGUGGUACAAAAAUUACAGACCUUAGGUUUCAAGGUUAGAGGGGAUAACAACUCUUUGAGUAAUUUUUUAGAUCGCAUUAUACAGAGGGAGAGAGAUAGGCCUAGGCCUGUUGAUAUCGUAGUUGGUGAGAGAGUUUUAAAUAAGGUGGACUAUGACCUACGUAUUGAGGAAGCGGUAGAUAAUUUCUUUUUAAGUAAUUUGUGUAGCGACAUUCUUAAUGAGGCGACAGAAUCUGGAAGUGAGCACAUUGUUAUGGUUCAUACUGACAUGAAUAUUGAAAUACAAGUUUUUUUAAGGGAGGCGAUACCAAAUAAGUGUUUAAAAAUGUAGGGAAUUUUCUAGAAUAGUGACGGGUUUAGAGACCCAAAAACAUUGUUAUGUGUCAGACUUAAUAAGGGAACAAAAUCUUUCUUUCAUUGCUAUAUCGGAGACGGUCCGUAAGUCCUUCCAUGACUUUUUUCCCAAGAAUUUGUGUGGGGAAAAUUAUAUUUGGCAUGUGAAAGAACCCGUUGGUCAUUCGAGAGGUAUCCUUUUAGGAGUGAACUUAGAUGUGUGUGAUAUUGGAGGAAUUGAUGAAGGGAACUUUUAUGUGAAGUUUAAGCUUCAUAAUAAAAAUGAUAGUUUUAAAUGGGCUCUAGUGGCUGUUUACGGUCCUGCUCAGGAUGACAGAAAAGAAGCUUUCCUCACUAAGCUGGUCCACGUCGUAAGUCAUGACACCUUAGCUAUUGUAAUAGGUGGCGAUUUUAACAUCACGAGACAUCCAAAUGAAAAAAUAAAGGUAGUUUUAUACAACGAUGGCCUUUCUUAUUUAAUGCGGUGAUCGAUGGUCUUAAUUUGAAGUAGUUAGAAAUGAGUGGUAGAUAAUAUACUUGGGCUAAUAAUCUUCCUAAUUCGACGUUUGAAAAGUUAGAUAGAGUAAUGGUUGCCACGGAAUAGGAUCAACAUUAUCCUCUUUCCUCGAUAGUGGCUUUAACUAGAGAUCUGUCUGACCACACUCCUUUGCUAUUGAAUACGGGAGAAACUAGAACAUGUAACCAAAUACAACCUUUCAAGUUCGAAUUAGGUUGGUUACUACGUGAUGAUUUCUUUGACAUAGCGAAGGAAAACUGGACAAAUAAAAAUGGUGGAAAUUCCCCAAUGGAGAAAUGGCAAUCAAAGAUGAGGCGGUUACGUCAGCACCUCAGAGGAUGGGCUAAAAAUAUUAGCAGCAAAUAUAAAAAAGAAAAUAAAGGAAUCUUAGAUAGGCUAUCAGUGUUAGAUAAGAAGGCUGAAACGGUUUGUUUAUCGGCACAAGAGUUGGAGGUGAGAAAUACUAUGCAGAAUAGGUUAGCCCAGUUAGUGAGGAAGGAAGAGGUCAAAUGGUACUAGAGAGAAAAAACAAAAAACCUCCUUCAGAGAGAUUCAAAUACAAAGUAUUUUAAGUUGGUGGCUAGCGGGAAACAUAGAAAAUCUAGAAUUUUUAAAUUAAUAGAUGGAAUCAAACCAUAGAGGGUGACGAGGAUCUUAAAAAAUUUAUUACUUCUUAUUACAAAGGUCUGUCUGGACCAUCUGAUGCAACUGAUGUUACUCUAGAUAAGUCUAUUACACAUGAUAUUCCGCAAGUCUCGGAAGUGGAAAAUGCCGCUCUUACCUCUUUAUUUUCGGAAGAGGAGGUUAAGGUUGCUAUUUUCCAUAUGGAACACAAUAAGGCUCUAGGACCAGAUGAUUUUCCUGCAGAAUUUUACCAAGUAUUCUGGUCGAUUAUAAAAGAUGAUCUGAUGUCCCUUUUCCUUGAGUACCAUACAAGAGAGUUACCUCUAUAUAGUCUAAAUUUUGGCACAAUUAUCUUGCUACCUAAAUGUAAGGAUGCAACAAUUAUUCAAUAAUAUAGACCUACAUGUUUACUAAAUGUGAGUUUUAAAGUUUUUACUAAGAUACUAACAAAUAGGAUCUGUUAUGUGGAUGAUAAAACAAUUGGUCCAACUCAAACACUGUUUAUUCCUGGUAGGAGUAUUAUGGAAGGGGUGGUAAUUCUUCAUGAAACAAUUCAUGAGCUUCAUAGAAAGAAGAAACAUGGAAUUAUACUUAAAUUAGAUUUUGAAAAAGCUUAUGAUAAAGUGUGUUGGAAUUUUGUCCAACAAGUGCUUCAGAUUAAAGGGUUUUCUUACAUUUGGUGUUCCUGGAUCAGUGCUGUUAUGACAGGUGAUCAUGUAGGGAUAAAGUUAAUGACCAUACAGGUGAAAAUUUUCAGACAAAAAGGUUUGAGACAAGGAGACCCUUUGUCACCUAUCCUAUUCAAUUUUGUAGUAGACAUGCUAGCCAUCUUAAUUAAAAGAGCGAAGGACAAAAACCACUUUGAUGGUCUUAUCCUGAAUUUAGUUGAUGGAGGGUUGUCUAUACUUUAGUACACAGAUGACACUUUGCUCUUCCUAGACCAUGAUUUAGAAAAGGCUUACAAUCUUAAGUUGUUGCUUCUUGCCUUCGAACAAGUGUCGGGGCUUAAGGUCCACUAUCAUAAUAGUGAGUUUCUUUUGUUUUGGUCAGGCAAAGGAAGUACAACAACAAUAUGUUCAACUUUUUGGUUGUUAAACUGGUGAUUACUCAUUUAAGUACUUAGGUAUCCCUAUGCACUAUAAAAAGUUGAACAAUAGAGAUUGGAAGACAAUAGAAACAAAAAUUGAGAAAAAGUUAAGUAGUUGGAAAGGUAAACUUAUGACAGUUGGAGGGAGGUUGGUUUUGAUUAAUUCUGUCCUAACAAGCUUGGUUAUGUUUAUGUUAUCCUUCUUUGAGGUUCCCAAGGGUGUUCUAGAAAGACUGGAUUACUUUCGAUCGAGAUUCUUUUGGCAGGGGGAUAAUCAUAAGAAGAAAUAUAGGCUAGCUAAGUGGAAUGUCCUAUGUCAACCUAAGGAUCACGACGGACUAGGUAUUUAGAACAUAGACAUACAGAAUAAAUGUUUGUUGAGCAAGUGGUUGUUUAAGUUAUUCAAUGAAGAGGGUCUUUGGCAAAGUCUUUUGAGAAAUAAGUAUCUUAAAAACAUACUCUAACUAACGUGAUAGAAAGACCCGAGGACUCACACUUUUGGAAGGGUCUGAUGAAGAUGAAGGAUUUAUUCCUAAGUAUGUGAUCUUUGGUUGUUAGGAAUGGGAAACAAUUAAGUUCUGAGAAGAUAAAUGGUUAGGAAACCAAACUUUUAUGCAACAGUACCCUUCCUUAUAUCAAAUUGUGCGAAAUAAGAGUGAUACAGUUGCAAAUGUAUUGAAUGGUGUCCCUCUAAAAAUUUCUUUUAGGUGCGCUUUAGUUGGGCAAAAUCUAAGCUUGUGGUAUAAUUUAGUUUCUAAGCUUAUUCAAGUUCAGUUAACUGCAAAGAAUGACUUGAUUAGGUGGAAUUUAACUCCUAACAGGUCUUUUAUUGUACAAUCAAUGUAUAGAGAAGUCAUAAAUAACGAAAUUGUUUUUCGUCAUAAAUUACUUUGGAGUCUAAAGUUACCUUUAAAGGUUAAGAUUUUUAUGUGGUACCUUUUGAAAGGAGUGGUACUCACUAAAGAUAAUCCGGCGAAACGAAACUAGAGUGGAAGUAAGAGGUGUGCCUUUUGUAAUACUGAUGAAACCAUACAACAUUUAUGUUUCAAGUGUCACUAUGCACAUUACCUGUGGCGGUUAAUUUUUUGUUGUUUUGGUGUGCCUCCUCCCAGAUCUUUAAAACAUAUGUUUAACUCAUGGUUGGUUGGGGUUAUUCUAAAAACUAAAAAACUUAUUAUCAUAGGUGUUUCGGCUUUUUGCUGGGUUAUUUGGAUAAGUAGAAGUGAUUUAGUUUUUGAAAAAAGGCCGAUACCAACUUAUCUGUAGGUUCUUUUUAGAGGAACACACUGACUAAGGUUUUGGAGUCAACUUCAGAGUAAAGAUGAAAAUAAGGAUCUAAUAAUAAAAGGCUGCAGAAGUAUGGAGUCAGUUGGGAUGCACAUCUUCGCGCACUAUGGCUGGAGAUUCAUAAACAAAUUGUCAUUAUGAUUUUAUUUUUCUGUGUUUUCGUGAGUGCAUAUACUAUGUGUCGAAGGUUUGUCUCUCCUUAGUGUUGUAGUCCCUGUGACUAGUCUCUCAUUUUGAGGUCAAAGCCGAAUAUUUCCAUUAUCUAAAAAAAUCACGAUUUUGGGUGGUACAGUCCUAUGUACUGGUGAGAUUGUAUUGCUUGAGCUCGACAAGGUUAUAAUAAUGCGCUGCUAGCUAAAAGUUUAGCUAUGAGAUAGGAUCUAGUUUCUAGGGUUAGGUGAAUUGUAAGGGUCCCUAAUCUGCCGUAUAUAUGCUGAUGGUUUUAGGGUUACAAGUCGGAUUCUCUCUAACUAACAGUUCUACAAUCUCGAAAUUAUGUUUUUAAGUACGCCCCGAGUCAAUGAGGACCAUCGACGGUCCAUAUAUAUAAUAUGUGCAACGAGGACUCGGUGAAUAUUUAUCUCCAGAGGAUCUUCAACCCCAUAGAGAAGAGAAGAAAUAUCUUCAAGGUACGGCAACAUCGUAUUUAUUAUUUUUAUUGAAAAUAUAUGAAUGAACAUGUUUUGAAUGUUACUAUACGAGAGUAUCGAUGGAUGAUUUGGAUGGUCGACCCACCUCUACUGAUGCCUCCUAUUGGGGUUUUGAAGCCCCUAGAGAUGAGGGUCGAGCUGCUACUAGUGCCUAUCGAACCAAGAGUCAGCUGGCGGCGAGAUGACUCUGCCUUCCAGCGCGCUGGCCGAGUCCUCCGUUCUUCUAGCUACCUCAGCCCCCAAGAGGCAAGUAACCAUUGUCUCGACUAUAUCAAUUAAUAAUAAUAAUUUAUAUCAUCAAGCGUUAUUUGCCAUCUAGAUACAACUACCAGGCUAGCAGCUAGCUAGGUCCAAAAGAUGAGGGAUGAUCUUGAAGCCCGGCCCAAACUCUUGAAGUCAAGGCCAAGAGCCAAGAACUUGAAGGUAUGAUCCUUAUUUACAAUUCUCAAAAUUAUCUAUAUCUGAUUUGGUAAUGAUAACUUUAAUUUGUAGAAUAGACAGCCUAUAUAUGAACGAGGCUUGAUGAGUCAUCAGUUUCCACGGGUGGGUGGGUCUUGACUCUUGAAAACAGAAAAAAAAAAAGGAAAUGACAACAAAAGGAGUCGACGACGACACUACUCUUGCCCGACCAUGCAUAUAUAAACAAUAUACGUAUAUGGAGUUCGUUGUUAAAUUUGUAUGUAGAAUUUUGAAGGCAGGUGAAGAUGCAGCAAGCUAGCAUUUUGAAGAUCGAUGAGCGAGGUAGCAGCAGCUAGCCGGCGCCAUGGAGGACGCUGCCGUCAGAGGUGUGCCUCAUGGUGAGCCUGCCGUGGCCGAUGAUGCCCUUCUUCAUCAUUGCCACGAACUCGCCGUAGUCGAUGCGGCCAUCCUGCAUGAGUCAGUCAGUCAAGUCCGAUCACCAAUGGGACAAUAUGAUGCGAUCCUCACGUACGUUGUCCUGGUCCACCUCUGUGAUGAUGUCGUCGAGGCCGACGUCGGCCAUGUUGUGCUCCCUGCACGCCUGCUCCAGCUCGUCGACGGUGAUGUAUCCGCUGCCGUCCUUGUCGAAGUAGGCGAAUGCCGCGAGCAGGUGCUCCUCGCGCUCCAGCUUGCUCAUGUGCACGGUGGCGGCGAUGAACUCGUCGUAGUCGAUGCUGCCGCUCUUGUCCACGUCGGCGGCGUCCAUCAGGUCCCUGAUCUCGCUCUCCCUGAGGUCCUUGGACCCGUGCCUCUUCAGCCCCUCCUUCAGCUCGUCGAAGGUGAUGGCGCCGCUGCCGUCCGUGUCCAUGGCCUUGAACAUCUCCUUCAGCCCCGCCAGCUCCUCCUCCGACAGGCUCUGCGAGAUGACCCGCAGCGCCAUCUUCUUCAGCCUGUUCAUGGCCGAGAACUGCUUCAGCCGCGUCAGCACCGCCGGGUCCAGCGCCCUGUCCGGGGCCACCCCGUUCUCGCAGAUCCACGGGUGGCACAGCACCUGGUGCGCGCUCAGCCUGUCCGCCGGCGGCGACCGCAGCAUUCGGCGGAUCAGGUCCUUGGCGCUGUCGGAGAUGGCCGGCCACGGCUCCGAGUCGAAGUCGAUGGCCCCCUUCAGCACGGCGUCGAAGAUGCCCUGCUGCGUCUCCGCCCAGAACGGCGGCACCCCGCUGAGGAGGAUGUACACGAUGACCCCCGCCGUCCACACGUCCGCCUCGGGCCCGUAGUGCUUGCACAGCACCUCCGGCGCCACGUAGUAGGGGGAGCCCACCACGUCGGUGAACACCUGGCCGGGCUUGAAGAAGACGGAGAGGCCGAAGUCGAUGGCCUUGAGCGACGCGUCGUGGCCCCUGUCCUUGAGCAAGAAGUUCUCGGGCUUGAGGUCCCGGUGCAUGACGCCCAGCGAGUGGCACGCCUCCACGACGCCGACGAUGACGCGCGCGAUCUCGGCGGCCUUGCGCUCGGAGAAGUACCCCCUGUCGACGAUGCGGUCGAAGAGCUCGCCGCCCUCGCAGAGCUCCAUCACGAUGUGGACGUAGAGCGGGUCCUCGUAGGCGCCCUUGAUGGUGACGACGCUCUUGUGGCCGGCGAGGUGGUGCAUGAUCUGGAUCUCGCGCCGCACGUCGUCGACGUCCUCGGGGGUGAGCAGCUUGCGCUUGGCGAUGGACUUGCAGGCGAAGGCGGCGCCCGUGGACAGCUCCGUGCACAGGUACGUGGUGCCGAACUGCCCCUGCCCGAGCUUGCGCCCCACCGCGUAGAGGUCGCGCAGCGCCGGGGUGACGUGGCCCAGCACCGCGGUCGGGGACGACAGGUGCAGCUGGUGACCGCCCAUGGUGCGACGAUGCCGCUGCUGCUGCAGGUGGCAGGAGUAGGUGAUGCUGCUAGUGCUGCUGCAGGCGGGGAGGGACAGGGACGACGACGACAGGGCGAUGCUGUUGCUGCUGUGGUGGUGGUGACCGUACCAAUAGCAGUCGGUGGUGACCGUACCAAUGCAUCGCUGGGCCUGGGAUCAAAAUAGAACAGCGCCGGGCGCCGGCAUUGCUGCUGCCGUCCUAGCUCGUCGUCGUUGUCAUUCAAUUCGGACGAUCGACACGGGACCGGCCGGGUGAGCGCCGCCGCCGAUGGAUUUUUGAUCGAUCGAUCGAUCCCGGGCUCGCUCCUCACCACCGAUGAUCGGUCGAUCCUUAAACGACGGCGACGGACGAUGGAUCCUUGCUUAAUCAAGCACUAAACUGAUAUCUCUCUGGUGGAGGAUGGGAGGAGGGUUGGUGGAGAGAAAAGCUCGGGAAGGGACGGCGACGACAGGAUGGGAAUGACGGAAUGGGGGAGCGGAGGCAAACAAAUUCGUCGUAAGCUCCGGCGGGAAUUGAGGAUGACGACGCAAUACAAGCUGGCCUGGAUAUAUAUAGGUAGGACAGCUUGCUUGCUGGGUGAUGAGCAGCAAGCACGUAUACAUUACAGGGACAGGGAAGAAGAAGGACAUGCAUGCGUCGCCAUAGCUCAGACUCAGUGCGCGAGCACAACGAACGAGCACACGCGCCAGACGUCUCACUGACAGUUGCGGCCCACACCAUGACUUUCACCUGGACGCCUAGUCAGCCAAGACCUGACCCAUCCUGGCCAUCCAACCAAUCCGGUCAACGGGAGAACAUGUACGAGGCGAUGUCGCCGCGCCGGGCGCUCCUCGCCAUCCUCCUCGCCGUCGCCCUCGCCUCCGCUUCCUCGGCACCCCAGCCCCCGCCGUGCAGCCGCUCGUGCGCGGCCCUCAACUGCGACUGUGCGUGGCUCCCCGUCUCAUCCUCAUCGGUUCCAUCGGGGCGGCGGGCGAUCUGGUCCGGUUCCUGUUUUGUAACGCUUCUUUGCUGCAGCCCUCGGGAUCCGCUACGGCAAGUACUGCGGCGUGGGCUGGAGCGGCUGCGACGGCGAGGAGCCCUGCGACGACCUCGACGCCUGCUGCCGCGACCACGACCGCUGCGUCGAGAGGAAAGGUUACGUUUCCUUCAUCCCCGGCCUGCGUUUGUUGUGCUCGUUAAUUAGGGUCUGAGUGAGAUGGGUGGAUGGAUCAUGAUCAAGUUCCUAGCUUGCAACUCAUCGGUAGCAAAGGAAUUUUUCAUUGGAUUUGAUUUCGCGUUGCAAUCUGAUCACUACACUUGCUCACUCCGUUUUUUUUAUUUGUCGCGUUUUAGUUAAAAAAAAUAAACUAGCCGGUAACAAAUAUUGAAGAAUAGAGUCAGUUUUCUUUAUUUAUUUUCUGCUUGUGGUGUGGUUGGAAUGCAGUGCCUUCAAGCACCAUUACCACAAAAUUUUGCAUUUACCAUCCACGAAAAGGAUGACCACAGUUAUUCUCCCAACCUGAACAUUACAUGUAAUCAGUCAGUCACUCAGCCUCAGCCUGAUGGGAAUAGAAAUGAAAAUAGUGAUCAACAGCGGAUUAGCAUGAGGAUAUGGUAUCCCCACACCAACUCAAAAUAGUUUUUGACUUUUAUUCACCUGCAGUUCCUGAGCUGAUGUAGCUUUUCUCUUGUUUUGAUUUAUCAUUCUCUGCUAGGUAUGAUGAGCGUGAAAUGCCAUGAGAAAUUCAAAAACUGCAUGAGGAAAGUGAAAAAGGCAGGCAAGGUUGGCUUCUCCAAGAAAUGCCCGUACGAGAUGGCUAUGGCUACAAUGACUCAGGGGAUGGAUAUGGCCAUCAUCCUUAGCCAGUUGGGCACCCAGAAGGUGGAACUCUAGCGUUAGCUAGCUCCGCCUCAGCUGCAUGUUGAUUUAUUCUCACGGAAAUAUUUAUAUACUCCACUGAAGAAUAGAAUUUGCUUCCAUAUGAUUACUGUUGUUUCAUCGAAGUCAGAGGGAUGCAUAGCUUAUCUUUCUUCUGCCAAAUUGAAAAAGAAAGGAAAAGACUUCAGUUUAUUUUCUGUAGCUUGAAUAGUUUUUAGUGCUAAUAUCAUUUUCUAAGAACGCAUUCUCGUCAAGACCCUUUUUCCCUAAUCAUACCAUCCUCUAAUCCUAUAAACUUAGUAUAUCGAUCAAGACACGAUAUUCCUUCGAUCUUUCGGGACAACCAAUAAAAUGACAACUUACUGGCUUAAAUAUUUUAGUUUUUGAUGGACAACCUCACACAUGCAAAUAAUUUAGGCCUCGUUCGUUUUGGCCGGAUAAGCCCAUUCCCUGCCUCAUUCCAGGAGGAACGAAUCAACCUGGUUUAGAAUCUGGUCCAGUCUGCUAGAGUUGUUCGUUUUGACCUGGGCCGGAAACAAACCCGCCUGAUUUUGAUUCCCAUCCCUCAAUCCUCGGCCUGGAACGAGUCCAGGUGACCUACCUUCUGGUUUGGUUCCUGAUCUGGAAACGGGCUGGUGACAGGAAUGAGUGACAACCCAUGAUUCACUCGAUCCUGGGCUGGCUUUGUUACUGACCUGGCUUGGAUCCUGGGCUGCCGAACGGGGCCUUAGUGAGGAGCCAGAGGAAACAAGUGAAGGUGGAUCAGCGAUUCCUGCUCAGGUGGUUCCAAAACUAUAAACUAUUCCUCUACUCGCUAUGCGAAAAAAACCUGAUAAAAUAAGUAUAGUCUAGAUCGUACUCAUGAAACUCAUAUAAGAACAAGGUAUUGAAAUUCAUCUUUACAGAUCGGAGGAAGAGUAGGUUAUUCAGCCCGAGACUCGAGAUG